UCAUCAUUAGAGUUCUCACAUGAUGUUUCAAGAGGAAGUUGAUGGAAUGGCUUAGGAGGCAACUCAGGGAGUUCAACAUCAGAUUCAAGCAUCUUCAAGACUUUACUCAUUGAAGGAUGAUUAGAAGGCAAUAAUUGUAUACACCAAAAGGCAGUUAUUCAUCUUCUUCACCAUUACUUUUUCAUCGUCAGAAACAUCUCCUAGCUCUAUGUCCUCUCCUUGAUUUAAUCGGUCAUAAAUCCAAGAUGGAAAAUAGAUCUGACUAGUGUGGUCAGCAAAUGCAUUCACAUUCUUUCUCCUUCCUACCAUUUCCAUCAGUAACAUUGCAAAACUAUAACCAAUUCAGGAGCAAUAUAUCUUAUCGUUCCUCGUGCCGCAGUGAGAGAGACAAUGCUAUCAUCUACUGAAUACAAUUUAGCAAGACCAAAAUCGGAAACUUUUGGAUUAAAAUUCUCAUCAAGAAGAAUAUUGUGUGGCUUGAUAUCAAAAUGUAGAAUUUGCAUGUCACAUCCUUGAUGCAAGUAGUGAAUUCCUUGAGCCACCCCAAGCACAAUAUCAAACAUUUUUUUCCAGCCCAAAGUGUUCUUAUUUUCUUCUGUAAAUAUGAGUUUAUCUAAAGAUCCAUUAGACAUGAAGUCAUAUACCAGAGCUUGCUUUGAUCCCUCCACACAAAAUCCAAUAAGUUUUGCCACAUUGGCAUGAUGAAUUCUACCAAUAGAAGCAACUUCAUUUAUGAAAUCUUGGCCAUUACCUUUUGACUUACCCAACAAUUUUAUUGUCACAUGAUGCCCGCUACGAAGCUUUCCUUUAAACACUGACCCAUAACCCCCUUCACCUAAUUUAUCUUUAAAAUUUUUAGACAUUUUUUUUAUUUCAUUAAAGGAAUACCUUAUCGGCACUAGAUUAUUUUGACUUUGAAGGAACUCUUCGAUUGUAUCAUCCAUGGAUAAAUGUCUUCUUCUCCAUUUGUACGUAACAAGAGAAAACAAACAAACAAAUUAUCCUAGGAAAUGACCUGAAAAAGAUAAUUCCACCUUUAAAGAAAUACAAUGUAAUGCAUCAGUACUUGUGAAAUUAAUCAAAUAAUGUAUAACUUACAUUCUCAAAAAAGUAAAUAAUGUGAUUGUUUUAUGCUGUUUUAUAAUUAACUACUACUUAAAAGAGGGGCAUAUUAUGUAAUGGCCUAAAUUUUCAGUGGUGUCGGAAUGGUGAUUCGAGAUCACUAAAUCUAAAAAAAAUGAGUAGAAAAUAUUAUUAAUUUAGUGAGAAUAAGUAAAUGUGAAGUUGGGAAAAUUUUUGAAAUAGUGAAUAGUGUACUAAGAAUAAAUAUUAAAAUAAUUAAAAUAAAAAAUGAGGUAUCGAGACCUUGAAGAUUUUAAACCGAGCCAUAAAUAUUUUUAGAAAUAUUUUUAGAGUGUCAUUGAGUUGGUAUUAAAGUUUCGUUAGAAAAUUUUAACGUUUGGAUAGUCAAUUAACUAAAAAGGACUAAAUUGAAAAUAGUGUAAAAUUUGUUAAAUUGUGAUUAAAUAGCCUAAGUGAUUAAAAAUGAGGGAUUUAAAAGACAAUUAGGCCCAAACUAUAUGGGCUGGACGGUUGGGCAAGAAAAAUCUGGAAAAGUGAUGUAAUAAGGGUAAAAUUGGAAAUUUUGUAAAAGUUAACAAAUAAAAAUCUCAAUUAAAAGAGUUUCUAGGCAAUUCUUCAUAAUUAUCAGCCAAAAAAUGCCAUUUAAGUGUCCUUCCAAGCCGGUUUUUCAUAUAUUUGAAUCAUGUAAGUUUAAUUCUUGAUUAUUUCUUCUAAUUUUUGUGGUUUUGAUACUUUUACAAUUAGGUCCAACUAAUUGUUUCAUUAGUUAUUGAUUUUAUGGAUGAUUUUGAAAGUUACCAUUGAUGAGUACUGAAUUUUUAUGAUGAAUAAACAUGGAAUUAAAGCUUUGAUUUUGUUAUAUGAUGAUUCUAUUAAAGUAAUUUUGAUAGAAAUUGAUUUUAGGGACCUAAUUGUAAAAAGUUGGGAAUUAGGGUUUGGGGUUGCGGUUUUGAAUAUGGAAGGCUAUGUAGUAGUCUAAAAUAGUUGGAAAAUGUGUUAAUUGAGAAAAAUUAGAUCAAUUGAGGGGUUAAUUGAGUAGAGACCAAAUUGUAAAAAUUGUAAAGCUUGGGGUAAAAGUGUAAUUUUGAGAAUUUAAGGGCAGAAACUGUGAAAUGAAUUAGAAUAGAAUUAAAUGCUGAUGAAUGAAUAAAUUUUAAUUUUAGAUCGAGAACCUGAAACAAGUCGAGGAAAAGAAAAAGUAGCUAAUUAGUCCCUGAACUUUUACAAAUUAAGCAAAUCAACCCAGGUAAGUUCAUAUGGCUGAAAUUUAAUGAUUAAAUGUUAAUUUCAUGAAUUAUGCAAUGUAUGAUGAAAUGUAUUUAUUGUUGAAAUGAGAAUAAAAUAAAAAUGUAAAAAUCGAAUAAAUGAUCAAAUUAAGUGGAACGCCGGAUUUAAGUACUUCUGAUCAAGAGAUAAAGUGAUAAGUGGUAGCUUUAGCUACACUUAUCUGAUCAAGUGAAAAAGUGAUAAGUGCUACACUUAUCUGAUCAAGAGACAAAGUGAUAAGUGGUAGCUUUAGCUACAAUUAUCUGAUCAAGUGAAAAAGUGAUAAGUGCUACACUUAUCUGAUCAAGUGAAAAAGUGAUAAGUGCUAUACUUAUCUGAUAAAGUGAGAAAGUGAUAAGUGCUACACUUAUCUGAUCAAGCGACAAAGUGAUAAGUGAUAGCUUGCUACACUUAUCUGAUCAGGGACGUAAGACCAUAGUUAUACUAUGGCAAAGUGAAAGUGAAGUACUCAAUUUUCUGUAACUGUUCUUUAAUUUUGAUCAAGGAUGGUAAGUGACAAACGGGCCCAAAGGAAUUAUGGUAAAAGAAUAAGUAGUAGUGAGUUCAUACCAAGGAAUUCACCAAAGAUUGUGGUUGACAGGUAAACUUAGUAAUUGUGUAUAUUGUAAGUGUACAAAUGUUUGGUAAGAUUUAUGUUUUAUGCCUAUGAACUUACUAAGCUUUUCUAUAAGCUUACAUGUGUGUGUUUAUUGUCUUUGUAGAUUAACAUAUUUAUACAUUCGGAGGAUCGGAUCUACAUCGAGAAUCACACUAUCCAGAUAUACUCCGGUAGAUUAUGUUAAGCAGCUUUUUGGAUUUAUAUGGCAUGUAUAGGGAAUUGAAGUAAAAAAAGUAAUAGAAUGAAUGACUAAGUAUGCAAAGUAAAUUUGAAUGUGAUGAUUGUGUUAGACAUUGAAAAAUACAUGUUUUUAGUUUGAAAUGGUUGAUUGGUUGAACUUCAUUAGUAUUCAAGCUAAGUAGUUGAAAUACUGAAAUUGGUUGUGAUUUGAAAUUUGCAGGGAAGGUUAGGUAAUUAUAAAGGGGUUAUAUUGAAAUUUUUUUUAAAAUUUCAAUGGAAUUGUUUUUGGACAGCAGCAUUGAUGUAACUUUGAAAAAUCACUAAAAAUAGUGGAAAUAGAAUUAGAAGUUGAGUGAGAUAUGAAAUUAAAGCUGAAUGAGUCUACUUUCACAUAAAAGAAGUAAAGUAAGCAAAAGAAUUAUAUACUUUUAGAUAUUUGAAUUUUAGUGAAACAGGGAAAAAAUGUUUUUGAAGUCCCUUAUUCUGACUUUAAAAAUUCAUUAAAAAUUGUACAGAAGUAAUUAUGAGUUAUAAUUUAUAUUUAUAGACUCCUUAAUGAGUCUAUUUUCAGUAGAAAUAAGUGGAAGCACCAUAUGAAGUCUGUAAUAAGAGAUAAUUGAAUUUUAGUGAUGAGUGGUCAAGAUAGUUGAUCAGUGAAACAGGGGAGACUUCAACUAAUAAAAUUUACUAAUUGGAUAAACCAAAAAUUCUGAAAAAUUUAUGGUGAAUAGAUAUAUGAGUCUAGUUUGAAGAAAAAUUUACGGAUCUAAAUUUCAAGUUUCGUAGCUUGAGUUAUAAUUAUUUUAGUGACUGCUGCGCAGGUGGAUAGCUUUAUUAUGAAUGGUGAAAUUAAUUUUGAAAGUAAAUUUUUAUGCCCGAACUUUUAAGUUAAGUCAAGUAACGCCUCAUGCUCGACUCCGGCAACGGUCUCGGGUAAGGGGUGUUACAUAUUAAUUUCACUACUUUAUGGAAUUAAUUUAGAAAUAACAGUGAUGCCUUGUGUUUACCCUUCUUUACCAAAUGAAAAACUUUGAAAGGUCAUUGAGAACCCAAGAAAAAUAAUUCCGAAUUAUAUGUUAUAGUUUUAUAUUCUAGCAGGUGCACCUCAACAAAUUCAAACUUAGAACUGCACACACAAAGGAGUAAAUCAUUUAAAUUGGAUACCAAUUAUUCUAACCUCACCAUGGUCCAUCAAGGAUACUCAACUUUUAUAUUCAUGUCAAAUAUACUUGAAGAAGGACAAAGUACAUAUCUAAUAACCUUCAAUCUUUUUAAAUGAAACGAAGUCUAUAAUCACCAAAAAAUGCAAAACAACCAAAAAAAAAAUUUUGGGCCGAUUGAAGAGCUAACUUUGUUGAAUGUUUUAGCAAUAUGAAUAUUCACCAAACUUACAACCUUUGGAAGUUCUAAACAAGACCAUUAUGAACACAAACUUAACCAAAACUUCAACAUCAUUAUUUACUUGACAAAAAAAAUUUUCUUUCGUAUAACAGAAGAAGAUUGUUUUCAGCAUUCAAACUCCUUAAAGAGUGCUAGAUUUCUUAGUUUUGCAGUGAAAUUAAAUAUGAACUUGUAUAGUAUGAUAGGCUCCUUAUUCUUCCCCCCCCCCCUCCCCCAAAGAAUAUUGCUAAUAUCUUUUCUUAACUAGUGCUAGAAUUUGUAUCGGAAAAAAUGCAAAUCCAAAAUUAACAAUACCUGUUAUUGCCAAACAGAGAAUAUAAGUUCCUGUAAAAAAACCACGAAUAAAAACGAAAUAUCAUUAUUUCAAGAGAGCAGCGAAAUAGUAAAAUCAAAGCACUUCUAAAUUCUAAUGAAUUUUGGGAAGCAUACUUCUUGGUAUAUAGAAUGAUUGACAAACGUGCUUUUGGCUGAAAAGAACAGAAAUUUGAUUUCUCAAUUUUUUCCACAAACGUGCUUCAGGGUCGAAGGAAGCAUAUGGAAGAUCUCACUGUCUGCAUGCUCGAUCUCCACAUUCCCUUCCCGAGUAUCUCUCUUUCUUCAUAUCUUUUUUUUUUGUGCGGCUUCGUGGUUUUAUUAGAAUGCGUUCAUAGGGGAAUUAGUCUUACGAUUAAUAUUUUCUCUUGUAAAAAGGAUAAAUUGAUGUUGCAAUUUAAUGACAGUUUUUAUGCUAUGGAUUGAGAAUGAGAUUCUAGGGUUUUUCAUUGAAUGAAUUUGCUUUUGGUUGUUUUAUUAACAAACUUUAUCGCUUCGUUUAAGAAAAAAAAUCCUUCUUUUAAGAUUGAAUUUAUGAAGUUUUGUCGGUUAAUUAAAUGCUUAGCUCUUUUCUAAUGACUGUAACCAAUGUAGCAAUGAUAUUAACGUAACCAAAGAAGGUUGAGUUAUAAAAGUGGAGAGAUAUUAUGCUAAACCGAACUACUAACUUCAAUAGUUUACUUCUUAGUGUUCUUAUAGAGGCAAUUUUGUUUGAAAAGGAUCUUUCUAAACAAUGUAAGAUUUGGUAUUUUUACUUAUUUUGUGAUGGUUGAAGAAGUUUGUGCGUAUCACUGAUUUAGUAACUUUGUCUAACGUCUCAUCCUAUGUUUUAUUUUUAAUACAUAAAUUUUUGAUACAUUGGAGCAGGAAAAAUUGGGUUAAGGAAGUUUCAGUCGGAGUUGUUGCAGUUUUUGAUGGUCAUAAUGGUGCUGAAGCUAGUGAGAUGGCUUCAAAACUUUUACUGGAGUAUUUUGCUCUAUAUACAUAUUUCCUUUUGGAUGCAACUUUUUCCUUUGUAUUGAAGAAGCAGUCAAGUAGGUUGCCAAAUGUAGGAGAAGGGGAUAUUGUUUUCCAAGUGCUUAAUUGGGACAAAGAGAUUGGAAAGCGUGGCUUGAACUUUGAAAGGUGAUAUCAUGUGUAACUCAGACCAUAUUUAUGUUUGAGUUCCUUGUUUUAGAAAAUGGAUAUAGCUGUUGCUUGCUGUUGACGAUUCUUAACCCAAAGUAUUAAUGCUUGCUCAGAUUAUUAACCCAAUGUUUAUUUCAUCAUCUUAAAGUUGCUUCCUGUUUGCUUCUACCUGCUAUUCAGCUGGUUGUGGGAAUUAGCCAUCCCUCGUGGAUUUCUCUGACAUUUUUCAUUGGAAGCUGUAUUAGGCUAGUGGAUUGGUCUUUGACUAGCAAUUUUCUAGGACUAUUCAGGUGAUUGCUUCUUGACUCUUUGUACAUUGUUCUAUUUCAUUUUCUUUGUCAAUGAGUUUGGUUUUAUCAUUGGUUAAUGUUUUUAGUAACUUAUGUUCUGUUUCUUUUUUGUCAAGGUUGUGGAAGGCUCUCCAGUUUUAUGCAGGCUUCAGCAUUUUCAUGCUUUAUGUGUAUCAACUCCGUAUAGAGUUCUCAAGUAUGUUACAGUGGAUAGCUGAUUUUGUUGGUCUAUUCAAAAUAUGUUCAACAUCUGAGUGGACUGAAAUUUGCUCUUCUGUUUCUCUUGUACUUUAUUACAUCAUGGUAUGUACUAGUUUUAUUACUAUAGGUCUGAUUCUGUUUAAAAAAUUUAGCUGAACCUUUUAAUGAAAUGCAAUACACUCUUCCCUCUUCCUAGAAUCUUAUAUUAUGAAAUUGACUUCAUUUGAGUCUUUCCUGUGUCUGACAUUUGUCUAUCUAAUAGUCUUUUCCCCAUAUUACUAAUUUAAGAUGGUUUGAAGUGUUUUCUUUCUAUAAGAAAAAUUUCCUGGACAGAUAUGAAGUAUUUAGUUGCAAACUAGACUUUGGAGAUUGAUGACAAUUUUGCCAUUCUGGAUGCAAUUUUUAUUCAAUUUGCUCAAUGAAAUUGCAGUUGAAAAUUUGAGAGCUUCCUAGUUAGAAACCACAUAUUUAUAUAAUAUAUGUUUUUAAUAGUUUUGAACAAGUUAAAUUAAUUAUAAAGAAAUAAUAUAAUUGAGAACAAGAUUAGAGUAGCUCGUUUGUACAUCUCAAUCUUAAUAUUAAGUGAUUGAUGACUCUAAGCUACUUAAAAACAAGAAGACAAUCAAUCUUCACUUUAAUUUGUAUGACGCAAAGUUUUUAAAACCAUUUCAAAGAACCGUUAAGAAAUAAUAGAUACAAGAUCUAAUCAAAACAUCAAGUAACGACCCAACCAAAACCCACCAAAGAGAUAUCCAAAGUCUCAAAUUUGGAAUUAAAGGUCAACGUAAACACAAAAUUCUCCAAAAGUAUUAUGAGUUCUAACUUUUUAAUGGGUAUAAUUUCUAAGGUAUUUACAUGCAAAAUUUGUAGCCCAAAUAAUAAUAAAAUAAUAUAAACUAAUCAAAGUUUAACUAAAAUAAAUAAAUAGAAUUUAGCUGAAAGAUUACCUCUCAAAUUUAAUCGAAAUAUGAGGCAUGCUCAAUAAUAAAGGUAUCACUUCAAUGGUAUAAAGCUACAUAAAAUCUUAGUUAUGUCUUUGAAAUAUUUUGAUAAAGGCAUGUGCAAAAACUUUUUGAUUCUAAACAAAUUCAUUCCCUCAAUAUUAUUUAUUUAAAAUCAAAACCACAUUUAUUUUUAAACAACAUCUAACAAUGUAUUUGGCUCAUCCAACAAUUUAUUUUUAAACGACAUCUAUUUAAAAAGAACCAAAUGAGAAUCAUUAUACAACUUCAUAAAGUUGAUGACACAUCCAACAUUUAAAGCACAAAGAAAUUAGAUAGGCCAACAACAAAACAAUAAUGCCAACAUUCUCAACUACGGCAACAAAUUUGUUCUAAAAACAAAAGUAAGCGCAUCGCACCUAGAGCGUAGAAAUAUUUGAAUUCAAUCAUUGUAACAACGAAAAAGGAAACAAGACAUCCAACAUCCUCAUCACAAUAGAUUCUCCUCUGACCCGCCAACAGCGUUUGCAAUGCAAUAAAACAAAAAGAGGUUAUUGUGAUAGCAAAUCUUAUAAAUAUUCCAAAAUUAACUUUUAGAUGCAUCAAGUCUUAAUCUAAGGGAAAGGGUUUAUCCAAACAUGAAAAAUCUAACCAACUCAAUUCAAUUCAACCCAACCUCAACCUAUCUAUAUAGUUUACUUUUAAUUUAUAUCUAAUUUCAAUUAUGGUUUAAAUUUAAAUAUUUUUUAACAAAAAUUUUAAAUACUUAAUAUUGAACAAAUAGUCAUAUUAAUGAAAAUAUGUAAUUAUGAACAAUAACUUAACACAUAGGUAAAAGUAUUUUUUUUUACUUAAUAAUAUUAUUAGCAAUAGUACGUUAUUAAUUGUAUAUAUGAAAAUAAUGAAGCUUAAAAAUUAAAAUUUAAAGACAAUGUCAUUGUCAAAUUUACUCAAAAUUUAUUUUUAACUAUAGUUAUCUAUGUACAUAUGUGACACACAUAAUAAGAUGCUAAUAUAUAUAAGGCAAAAUAUUAUAAAGUUAAACGGUUAGAUAAUGAAGUGAAAUGUUUCUAACCUUAUGCAAUAUUUGAACUUGUUAAUAUCCAAUGAUGUACUUGGCUCAUCAUUAGAGUUCUCACAGCUAUGAACCUCCAUUGAUGUUUCAAGCGGAAGUUGAUGGAAUGGCUUAGGAGGCAUCUCAAGGAGUUCAACAUCAGAUUCAAGCAUCUUCAAAACUUUACUCAUUGAAGGACGAUCAAAAGGCAGUAAUUGUAUACACCAAAAGGCUGUUAUUACCAUUUUCUUUACCAUUGCUUUUUCAUUGUCAGAAACAUCUCCCAACUCCAAGUCCUCUCCUUGAUCUAAUCGGUCAUAAAUCCAAGAUGGAAAAUAUAUUUGACUAGUGUGGUCUGCAAAUGCAUUCACAUUCUUUCUCCUUCCAACCAUUUCCAUCAGUAACAUUCCAAAACUAUAAAUGUCGGCUUUGUAUGAGAUGCCUCCAAGAUUUUUGUAAACCAAUUCAGGAGCAAUAUAUCCUAUCGUUCCUCGUGCUGCAGUGAGAGAGACAAUGCUAUCAUCUACUGAAUACAAUUUAGCAAGACCAAAAUCGGAAACUUUUGGAUUAAAAUUCUCAUCAAGAAGAAUAUUGUGUGGCUUGAUAUCAAAAUGUAAAAUUUGCAUGUCACAUCCUUGAUGUAAGUAGUGAAUUCCUUGAGCCACCCCAAGUACAAUAUCAAACAUUUUUUUCCAGCCCAAAGUGUUCUUAUUUUCUUCUGUAAAUAUGAUUUUAUCUAAAGAUCCAUUAGACAUGAAGUCAUAUACCAGAGCUUGCUUUGAUCCCUCCACACAAAAUCUAAUAAGUUUUGCCACAUUAGCAUGAUGAAUUCUCCCAAUAGAAGCAACUUCAUUUAUGAAAUCUUGGCCAUUACCCUUUGACUUGCCCAACAAUUUUAUUGCCACAUGAUGGCCACUACGAAGCUUUCCUUUAAACACUGAGCCAUAACCCCCUUCACCUAAUUUAUCUUUAAAAUUUUUAGUCAUUUUUUUAGUUUCUUUAAAAGAAUACCUUAUUGGCACCAAAUUAUUUAGGCUUUGAAGGAACUCUUCGAUCGUAUCAUCCAUGGAUAAAUGUCUUCUUCUCCAUUUGUAUGUGACAAGAGCAAGCAAACAAAUGAUCCCAGCAAACAACCUCAAAAAGAUAACUCCACCUUUAAAGAAAUACAAUGUAACACGUUGAAAUUAAACAAAUAAUAAAUAACUUACAUUCUAAGGAAAAAGUAAAUACUGUGAUAGUUUUAUGUUAACUAGUAUUUGAGACUAGUCUAUGGACUAAGCGAGAGUAGUCUGAAUUAUAUGUAAUGUUUUUGUCAUUAGCAGGCAUAUCUCAACAAAUUAAAAUUCAGAAUUUCAAACACAAAAGGAGUAAAUCAUGCAAAGUGGAUACCAAUUAUUCUAACCUCACACAUUCCAAUAGAUUUGACAGGGUCAUGACAUUCACCCAAAUUAACACAUUCGUAACCCCCUCCAAUUAGCAAAUUCUAAAGAAAGAACAAGAUUCUUAACCAUGAAGGAUACUCAACUGUUGUCUCUAUUCAUGCCAAAUAAACUUGAAGAAGGACAAAUUAAAAAUAUAAUAACCUUCAAAUUUCAUAAAUGAAACAAAAUCUAGAACCACCAAAAGAUGCAAGAGAACCCCCAAAAAACAGAUUUGAUAAAUUCAAGAGCUAAUUUUCUUUACUUGACAAAAAAAUAUUCUUUCGUAUAAUAGAAGAAGAUUGUUUUCAGCAUUCAAACUCCUUGAAGGAUGCUAUAGAUUUCUUAGUUUUGCAGUGAAAUUAAAUAUAAACUUGUAUACUAUGAUAGGCUCAUUAUUCCUUAUUUCCCCCAAGAAUAUUGCUAAUAUUUUUUCUUAACUAGUGCUAGAAUUUGUAUCUGAAAAAAAUGCAAAUCUGCAAAUCCAAAAUUAACAAUACCCGUUAUUGCCAAACAGAGAAUAUAAGUUCCUGUAAAAAAACCACGAGUAAAAACGAAACAUCAUUAUUUCAAGAGAGCAGUGAAAUAACAAAAUCAAAGCACUUCUAUUGAAUUUUGGGAAGCCUACUUCUUGGUGGGUCCAAUGAAUUGUAGUAGACAUGGGGGCCGUGGAAAAGGAAAUGUACAAAGCUGUCCAUAUAGGUACUGGAGGCAAAUUUCAACCUUGACAAUCUGAAUUAUAUAUUCAACAAAUCAAAGUAAAAUUAAUAAAGGGGUGUAAGGAAAAUUCCAAAUUUGUGUAAAAAGACAAAUGGAAGGUAAUUUAAAACAUUAUAUUAUGUUUUGUGGUAUAUACUCAAAAAAAAAAAUACAGCAAUUCUUUACAUAUGUUUGCUUGUAAAAAGUAUGCAACAUGUAUUACAGUAGAAGAGUUUUUAGGUAACUAAAAUGAUUUAAUAUAAUGAAAGGUGAGACAAAUUUUAUUCAAAUUAAUUAAUCCAAAAAGUAUAUAUUAUAGCAUUAAAAGAGUUUUUGCGAAAAAAAUAAACUCAUCCACAAUGGUGGAAUAUUUACGUACUACCAACUAAAUUGAAAAUUCAUCAAAAAUAAAAACAAAAUAAAAAGAUAGACAUAAUCAAAUAUAAUUGUCCAAAAAGAAGACAAAACAGCAGAGAAAGCAGAGGCAGAUACUAAAUUAGAAAUGCUUUUAGUUCAUUUGAUUGUUAGAUGUUGAUCAAUUUUAGAUGCAAAAUCAUCAUACUUAAUUACCAUCAUACAAUUUAAUUGCGAAUAAAGUAACAUAAAAUAAAACAAAACAUAAAGUAGAUGUUGUAACUAAAAAUUCCAGUAUGAUGCACACUCAAAAUGCAAACUUUAAUUAUUAAAGAAACUUACAUUUCUUUCAACCAAACUUUGUUUUUAUUGUAGUAGCAACUCUGGUAAUAGCAUCUAUCCCAUUCGACCCAAAAACCUUCUAAUAGUUUUUUUAGAUAUCCGGCGUAGACAUACCUAUUAUAUUAUCAAUCAUAAUUGGAACCUCCGCUUCGAUAGUGCAAGCUUGAUUGAUAUAAGAUGGGUGGGUGUUUCCAUUUAAAAAAUAGAAAUGGGAAGUUGGAAGGGAUCGAAGAGGAGGUAUUGAAUUUGAUGGUACAACGAGAAACCUCAAUAUAAAGUGAUAAUUUUAUAGGUUUCGUGCAAUUCAUAACAUAAAUAAUGUUGCCCUCUAACCUUCCAUCAUAAGAAUUAUAAAAAUAAUAAUACUUAGAAGAAGAAGAAGAAGAAAGGGAAAAAAAUGAGUGUUCAUAAUGAUAAUAAUAAUUAUCUACAGAACUAAGAGGAAGGGAGUUACAAUCAUCCGUGUCCAAGCUCGCAUCAAUUAUUCGUAUUUUAUAAUUUUCCUAAAAGAUUUGUUAGACAGAGAAUUUCCCUUCUUUAUCGACCAAAAUGGUGAGAUUAUUGUUCUCACACUCAAAUUCAAAGCCAUAAUGAUCACAGUGGGGAGGUUGGUUUUUUAAUCGGAAUGGAAAACUGAUAUUCAAAUUCCCACAGAAAGUAGAGCCGCAGUCUUGGUUAAUAGAUGUAAAAAAUCAAUUGAAUUUGAAGGUAAUCUAAAACACUGUAUUUUGUUUUGUGGUAUAUCUUAUUCUAAAUAUUCCUUUUUUCAGCCAAUAAAUUUUAUUAAAACCUCAAGAGGAAACUGACCAAAAGGUCAUUCAUACACCUAAAUCAUCAAUAGCUCGACAACAAGUAUGAAAAGUUAGAACUCCCAAGGAACAAGUCAGCAUAGAAGAAAACUCAACCCAAAACCCAACAUUGAAGAAGAAACAAAUCGCAUCAUCUAUUCCAUAUUUUUAACCAACCUUAUUCUAAAAAACAUUAUACCAAUUAUUUACCUAUUUUUUUUGUUUCUAAAAAGUAUGCAGCAUCUUUUACAGUAUAAUAAUUUUUACAUAACCAAAAUUAUUUUAUAUGAUGAAAGGUGAGACAAAUUUUAUUCAAAUUAACUAAUCCAAAAAUAUAUAUUAUAUAGCAUUAAAGGAUGUAAUAGUGAAACAUACUCAAACAUAAUGUUAUGUUUUUUUAUAAACAUGCUGUUGUUUAUAUUAGGAGCCAUUUCAAGGAGUUCAACAUCAGAUUCAAGCAUCUUCAAAACUUUACUCAUUGAAGGACGAUCAGAAGGCAGUAAUUGUAUACACCAAAAGGCUGUUAUUACCAUUUUCUUUACCAUUGCUUUUUCAUCGUCAGAAACAUCUCCCAACUCCAAGUCCUCUCCUUGAUCUAAUCGGUCAUGUAAAGCCCAAAAUCUGCCCGGGCCCAUACCAGCAAAAUAGACCCAAAUAAUAAAAUACAACAAACCCAAAAUUCAAUCCCAACUACCCAAACCUUAAGCCCAAACCUAAUAGCCCAUAACAAACUUUCAGCAACAGCAAACCCUAGCCCCAACUGCCCAUGAGCGCCGCAUGUGUGCCGCGCCAUCUCCCCGUCUGCCACGCCCACUCGCACGCCUCUGCCACCAUUGUCGGCCAUGGCCACCUGCAAGAAGCCAAGUAGAAAUAAACAAAUAGAAAAUAAACAAUGGUAAUCGGUUAUAAAAACCGAAAAUCUCACCAUUGCUGGUGGGGGGGAUUUUUGUAUAAAAAAAACAGCGUUUUGAAACAAAGAAAUAAGAAGAAUAUAGAUCGAAUUCUGAGAAAGUUUUUUUUAGGUGCGAAUCUUUCGUUUUUUUUUUCGUUAUUUGGUUUUUAUUUUAUUUUAUAUAUGCAUUUGAUAAAUCAAAAAUAAAAAAGGGAAAAGACGGAGAGUUCUUACCGUGGCGCCGUCGAAGCUCUUCUUCUCUCCGUCCAAAUCGGAGUUGAGGAAGAGUGGCUCUUAGUUUCUCAAGCGGUGGAGAGAAAAAGAAAGGGGGCUAGGGUUUCACAUGUUUGCUUUAUUUUCUUAAAGAAUGGCAGAUUAUAGUGAUUUGAAGGUUUUAUUUUUUUAAAAUAUCAAACGGCGUCUUGUAAAGGAAAGAGGGUUGUGCAUUAUUACCCUAAUGGGUAUUUUACACAGUUAGUCCCUCCAAUUCUGUGACAGAUGCGACGCACUCUUUUAUUUCUUUUAAUUUCGGCCACGUAAUUUCUCGCCUGUUCCAAUCUGGUACCGUGCAAAUCAAUGCGCAUACGGGAUGGGGAAUAUUGCGCAACCGGUCCCCAUGCCCUCAGUGCCUUUUAUUUCAGCUCCUUUACCACCUAUUUCAUAUAUUCGCAGUUUAGGACCUGAUUUUUUAUUCUGUUUCAACCAUGUCCUCGAUAUAUUUAGUUUGUUUUUAAUUUUUUUUAAAAAAAUAGGCUAUUUUAUUAUUAUUUGUUUUAAGUCCUUACAUUUAUUAUUUAAAUUUGUUUUACAUUAAACUCAUCUAUAUUUUUCAUAUAUUUUUGAACUGUUUCUUUUAUCAUUUAUGAUUUUCUUUAUAUAUUAUCUUAUUCUAGAUUGUUUUAGAUUAACUAGUAUUUGUCUCGAGUCUUAUAUUUUAUUUAUUUCAAAUACAUGUGUACAUUUUUAUUUUUAUAAAUACAUACACGUUUAUAUCUUUACAUUCACAUAUAAUAUAUACUUCUUAAAUUUUUACAUAUAUGCAUACAUUUUGUGAAAUAUAUCUGUAUGUAAAUAUUUUAUAUAAACAUGUACUCACUUUCAUAUUUUUACAAUUUGUAUACAUCUCCAUAUAUACCUAUAUACAUUUUAUUUUCAUGAAUAUAAAUAUACGUACCUUUUAUCUAUAUUUAUAUGCAUAUAUUCUUUAUAUUUUAUGAUCUUAAACUAUGCAUACGUCUAUAUAUUUUUGUAAUACACAUACAUACCUAUAUCUUAUAAUUUAUAUAUUUAUUAUAUUUUGUAAUUUUAAAAUAUGUAUAAUAAAAACAUACAUGUUUUAUUUUAUUUUAUUUUUCUUUUACUCGAUGUUUAUUUAUUAAUUUGGCUACAUGUUUAUUAUUAUUUUAAAAGGACAUUUUAAUCCUAUUUGCUUAUUCAUUUGUUAUGAUGCGAUUGAUCCAACUCUUAUUUAUUUAUUUCAUUGUUAAUGUUUGUUUGUAUUGUUUAUCCUUAACUUGCUGCAUUCAUUAUUGUUUCGUCACACAUGUUAACACCAUGCAUCAAAACCUUUUUUCCUAAGUAAGGCAAUAUUUCGCGUUUGGAAAAUUCGAGAAAACGUGCCCUAACGCGCUGGGUUUCGAUUUCUCGUUCGACCAAAUAGCCAAAUAUCCUUUUUAAACUUUCAAUCAAUAUUAUUAGAGUUUUCUUUAAGGAUCGUAUUUUUAAAAUUCUUCAAAGUUUUCAAUCUUCGACACUAAGACACUAAUUAAUCAACUAGGUACCAAUUUUGGGCGCAUCGAGGGUGCUAAUCCUUCCUCGUGCGUAACCGAUUUCCGAACUCGUCUUUCUGAAUUUCGUAGACCAAAAAGUGUUAUUUUAAUAAAUCGAAUCGUUUAUUAAAAAUAGCCAUUUUUCUAAGGUGACCCGAUCACACCUUAUCAAAAAGGAUUGGUGGUGACUCCUGUUUCAUUUUUACUUUUCAAAACCCAAGUCGACCCCGUUUUAUCCAAAAAAAAAUGGUGUCAAUAGCUUGGCGACUCCACUGGGGACUAAUAAGAGAGUCAAGCCACGUGUUGAUUAUUUCUUGUCCUUUUGUUGAAAGUGGAAAAUUCGAUUUAAAUUUACGAUCCUCUCAUUGCAUCUCUUUUGUUUUGAGUUAUAUUUUUUAUCAUGUUCUGUAUUUUAUUUUAUACCUCUGCACAUUGCAUUGCAUGACCGCUGGUCAUACCCUUUUAAGUGGGAGUGAGAAACUACGCCUUCGUGAGGUUUUCACCUCCGCAUGGGAUAGUGAAUCACUUCCGGGAUACAUCCGUACCUAUGUCUUCGUGAGAUUUUCAUCUCCGCAUGGCCAUAGGGAAAUGUAUUCCCCUGAACUGAACUCGGUCCAUAUGAGCCUAUAAUGGGUGAGGAUCGAGGAAUCUGCUGGUUCAGGUACCCUUACUUUAGAACCAAACCACACAUAGCGAGCCAUAAGAACCCACCGAGAUAGAGCUAUUCCAAACCCUAGUGCUUACCGAAUAGAUGCUUUAUUUAUUAUUGUUUACUUUAAAUCCUAGCUCUGAUUUGCUUUGUUUGUGAUUGCAUGGCAUUUUCAUUUCAAAAGAGGUGUCGAUUCACGUUCAGUAUAGAUAGAAAGCUGAUCAUGGAAAAGAGGUUUCUUGAUAAAGUAGAAGACAAUGCAGCUGUAUGAGUGUGGGCUGAGACGAUGUGGAGAGAGAAAGGCGAUAGUCUUGCAGAAGGGUACGUAUCAGAGUUAUGAGACUUCACCCGUAUCAGCGUAAUCCAAAAUGAUCUUCGAGAAAUGAAGGAAAUAUGGGAUCAAUGGGACGAUGGGACCAAGCAGAUGUUUUACUGUGACUACAGGGACUUGCCUUACUUACUUGGUGUCAAAGUGGACAAGCAUUUAUUCCGAGCCCUAGCCCAGUUUUGGAAUCCUGCUUACAGUUGUUUCACUUUUGGAAAAGUGGAUUUGGUGCCCACCGUGGAAGAAUAUACGACCUUGCUUCGGUGUCCAGAGAUUCAAAUUGACAAGGCCUAUUCUAGAGCUGCUAGUGUCCCGACAUUAUUAAAAAAAUUGAUGAGCAUUACAGGGAUGAGCGAACAGUGGGUCGCUGCCCGAAUCCAACAGAAAGGAGACAGUAAAUGCGUUCCUUGGAAAAGCUUGCGAGAUUUAGUAUUAGCACACGCUGAAUAUAUAUUAAAUUAUUUUAUAUGAUGAAAGGUGAGACAAAUUUUAUUCAAAUUAACUAAUCCAAAAAUAUAUAUUAUAUAGCAUUAAAGGAUGUAAUAGUGAAACAUACUCAAACAUAAUAUUAUGUUUUUUUAUAAACAUGCUGUUGUUUAUAUUAAGCACUUUUAAAACAUUUUUUUAUUUUAUUUAUCCAUUAUUUCUUUUGAAAAGAAAGUUUAAUUUUAAUAAUUAUUUUUUAAUUAUUAUUAAUAUAAUUAAAAUUACAAUUAACCCAUGAGACAAUAGAAACUAAAAAAUAAAAAUGUUAGAUUAAGGGUAUUUACCUUUUCCACUGUCUUUUUUUAUAAUUAACUUUAAUGAAAAAUACUCAUCUAAGCGAUAAAAUUGGAGGAAAACUCUUACAUUGAUUGAAAAGGUUUCUCUGUUUCCUCGCGGCAAAAGUCUAAAUUAAGGCCUUCCAAUUCUAAAUCAAAGCCGAGUAAUAGCUUCUCGUAGAUGUCCGAAGUAGACAUGCCGCUGAUAUUGUCAACCAUAAUCGGAACCAGGGCAUCCAUUGUGCAAGAUUCACCGAAAUUUCCAGACGUGGUUUUGCUAUCUAAAAAAUAAAAGUAGGAAGAUAUAGUGGGACAACGGGAGGCAUUAAUAUACGAAGAAGAGUUCAUCGGUUCCGAGCAGUUCACAAGAAACAUGACGCUAGACGGAAUACCCAACAUAUAGGGUACUUUACAGGAGUCAUCAACGCGAAAGGAAUUGCGAGGAAGGGAGCAAUUAUCAUCCUUGCUGAGAUUUGCAUCCAUAGCUUGCAUCGUUUCACAUGAGAUAUUUUGGGAUCCGAGAUUUGGACUGAUAUAGUCGACCGUGCAAAUAUCAUAAGAGAUGUUUUGGACAUAGAAUCUCCCAUACUUCAUGACUAAAUUGGUGUGGUUGUUAUUGUCACACUCCAGUUCGAACCUAUGGUCACCACAGUUGGAAGGUUGGGUUGUUAAUCGAAAAGGGUAGCUGAUGUUAACGUUUCCACACAUUGUAGAGCCGCAAUCCUUGUUUGUGUUUCUACCUAUGCAAGCUUCUGGUAGUAGAAAUAAAGCGAUGACGGCCAUAAGGCCAAACAAUGGCAGUUGGGGUUUUGGUUUUGGCAUGCUGUAAUUUGGGAAGAGACUAAGAAUGAACGAAGGCUAAAACAUUAGCUCUUUUUUUUUGGGAGGGGGGGGGGGGGGGGGAGGAAUAAAUUAAAGCAAGUCCACAUAUUUGAAAACCCAUAUUCAUUUUUUGAUUUUUUUAAAAGACAUUUAUAUUACUUUUAAUUUAAUAUUUAAUAUUUUAAUAUUUUUAUUGAUUAAAAUUAUAAUAUAUAAAAAUAGUUUAUUAUAUUAUAUUAUAAAUACUGAAAAUGGCUUAAUUUUUAUAUUUAUUUGUGAUAUAUUUUUUGAAUUAUGUUAUUUAUUCUUUUAAUAAUAUUAUUUAUAUUUAUAUUGUUUAUUAUUGAUUUAGGGAAUAAUUUGAGAAAAAGACUUUGACUAGUCUUCAGCUUUAUUUGGGAUGAAUAUUUUAUUCUCGAUCAAUUGUUUACACCUAUUUUUUUCUUAUUUUUUUCUGGGAAACACCUCAAUCAAAGCACAUCUGAUUUCAAGAAAGGUAAUGUCACCAAGUUAUUUCUCUAAUGUAUCUGUAUUAUGUUUAAGAGUUUAAUCUUUUCAUUUUAUGGUUGAUUUGAAUAUUUAUUUAAAUUUUACAAUUUAAUACGAUUAAUUUUAUUAUAUUACAAUGAAAAACAAAAGAAAAAGAAGAAUUUAAUAUGGUUCAAAGUUUUUAAAUAAAUCUGGACCAUAUACUUGUAGACAAACCUUUAUCAUUAAUCUAUUCCAACUUCAAUGUGAACGACCAAGACAAUGCAAGUCUCAAGUCCUGUUUGAAACGCAAAAGCAUUCAAGUGGUUGAGAGCAGCGAGCCUGAUCCCUUUUGUCCUUUUGUGUUAUGUAAAUCAAUUGUAGGGCCCUUUUACCCAAAUAACCCAAAAAAAUAUUAUAUUUAUAAAAAUAACCUAGGUUUAAAAACAAUCACUAAAAUAAUCUAAAAUGAACAGUACUCACUCUUUUUUUGCACCAAUGAUUGGCUAAUCAUUGUGUCAGAGUUAAAAAAAUUAUUUUUUUGGGUUCUGGCCUGUCAAUGGCCGGAACCCAUGUAUUUUUUUUAAAAAUUGUGUAAUACUGAAAUACGGAUAUACGAAAAAGAAAAAAACCAAAAAAAAAAUUUUUUUGGGUGCUGGCCUGUCAAUGGCCGGCACCCAGUACACAGUACAAAGGAAAAAAAAAAAUUAUUUUUUCGUAUCAGAAUCAGAUAAAAAAAUACGAAAAAAAUUUAAAAAAAAAUUUUUGGGUGCUGGCCUGUCAAUGGCCGGCACCCAGUACACAGUAGAAAGAAAAAAAAUUAUUUUUUUCGUGUUAGAAUCAGAUAAAAAAAUAUAAAAAAAAUUUUAAAAAAAAAAAUUGGGUGCUGGCCUGUCAAUGGCCGGCACCCAGUACGCAGUACAAAGAAAAAAAAAUUAUUUUUUUUCGUGUCUGAAUCAAAUAAAAAAAUACGAAAAAAAUAAAAAAAAAUUUUUGUACUGUGUACUGGGUGCCGGCCAUUGACAGGCCAGCACCCAAAAAAAAAAAAUUUUUGAUCAUUAUUUUAUGGUUCAAUUUUUUAUAUUUACUCAAAUCUCUGUUUCUAAUAAAUCUCUAAACAUUGAAAGAAUAUAUAGUUUAAUUAAUAACAAAUACGCGUUUUUUAUUUCCAAAAUUAUUGGUUCAAUCGAUUGAUUUAAUUAGAAAUUCAAAUAUUAUUUAUGAUUUUAAUAUAAAAACAAACUUAGUUAGCAGUUUGAUCCAUAAAUAUUGCAAAUUAAAAAUAUAACAUCAUUUUCACUCAAACUUAUUUUUUUUCCAUCAUCACCCAAACUUAAUUGAACACGAAAGAAAUAAUGACAUGUUUGCACAUGAUGUUUAAGGAAGAGUUAGAUACAACAAAAUACAAGAAUGUCAACUUCCCCAACGUGAUCCCCAUGUGAGAACAAAUUCUUCUAAUCCGUCAUGUUAAUUAUUACUUUUAUAUUUUUGUUACACUUUAAAAAACAUUAUUAUAUUCUCUUAUAAUUUUUUUUAAAUUGUAUCCAAAUAGGAAAAACAUUAUUGUUUUAUUAAAUCAAACAUACCAUAAAUGUCUUAAAAGUUAAGAUUUAAGACCAUAAGUACUACUAACAAAUCUAGUAUUAAUUAGAAACGAGUAAAAAUGGUUAACCCUCAUGUCUUUUAUGUACUUAGACAACCCAAAAUCUGAUAAUAUUUUUAUUAAAAAAAUUCAAAAAUAUGCGUUUUAAGGUAUGAGCUCACAUAUUACAUAUACUCUAUUUAAAUUCUGUCUUUAAGCCUAUCAUUAUCCUUUUAUGUGUCUUUAACCUUUUAUCUUGCAAACUUUUAUUCACCUUUAAUAAAAAAAAUCCUUUCAAUCUAUCAUUGUGUUAUAGUGUCUGACAGAAUUACUUAAUUUGGUCAAAUAUAAAUAAAGCAUAUAGCAUGAAAUUACUAAUAUAAAUUUAUGAAGCACGACUAAUGUCACGAAUUAAGUGUGUCGAAACCGUUUUUUGAAAAACAAAAAUUUAGUCGUUGACUUUAAAAAACAAAAUUGGAGUCGCCACCGAUCCUUUAUUAAGGUGUGACCGGCCCACCUUAAAAACUAUUUUGGUCUGCGAAUUUUGAAAACAGGUUCGGGAGUCAGUUACGCACGAGGAAGGGUUAGCACCCUCGUAACGCCCAAAAUCGGUACCAAAUUGAUUAUUUGAUGUCUUUGUGUCGAAAGUUAAAAAGAUUUUAAAAUAAGCUUGAAUGAUGAAAUUUGCAAAAGGAUAACCAAUUGUUUAAGUCAUGUAAAGAAAUCGAGUCCCAAUACGUUAGGGUACAAUUCCUCAAAAUUCCCCAAACUUGAAUAUCACUUUUAUUUUAUACGAAAAUCUUCAUUUCGAGAAAGUAACAUGCCACACCCAAUACGUUAGGGCACAACAAGUUAAGUUCCCAAAAAUGAUUUUUAUGCAUUUUGAAUAAAAAUAUUCUCGGUCAAUUAGGAUUGACAAAGUAAAUCAGAACCCAAUACGUUAGGGCUCAAUUUCCCUCGAAAAUCCCAAACUUCCAAAAAUGCUUUUAUUCAAAAAAAAACCUUUAAAUCAAGAAAAUAACUUUGAUGAAGGGUUAAAACCAAAAUAUAUUUUCAAGAGGGUAUGUUAAAGAGCUAAUAUACAAUAUGAUACAGAUCCUUUAAUUUUCAGCAUACACGAAUAAAUAUUUGCAGAUAUAUAUAUAUACAAAUAUAGUAUACAAGUAAACUAGCAAAUAUGCGUACACAUAUAUUUAAUGCAUACAUAGAAGUGUACAUAUAAAAAGGAAGGUAAAGAAAUAUAUACAACAAGCUCACAAUAGUUUCUAAGAAUAUGCAUGCAAAACACGUGUAUGUAUAUGUGAAAAUUGUGAAGAUCAAAAUAUCAAAAUAUGCAUAUGUAUAUAUUUACAAAGAAAAGUAUAAGUAUAUAGUAAAAAACAAAAUAAAAAUAAAAAACAUAUGUACAUAAAUAAAAAAAUUAAAAUAUAAAAGUUUUAUUUAUAUAUAUGUAAAAGUAAGAAAAUAAAAUAAAAAAUGUAUAAAAUAUAUAGAGGUAUUAUAAAAAAAAGUGCAUAUAUAUAUUAUAUAUAAAAGUCAUGCGUAUGAACAUGUAUUAUAAAAAACAAUGCAUGAAUGUUAUAAAAUAAUAAUAAUUACGUAUAUAACAUAUGCGUAUAAAACAUUUAAAUAUAUAUACAGUAUAUACAUAUUUACAAAAGUAAAAAGGCUUUUGAAAUUAAAAAUAAAAAAAUGUUUGUACGUACAUGAAAAUAAUAAUUACAAUAUUAAUAUUAAUAGUAAUAGUAAAUAAUAAUAAACAAGUAAUAAUACAUUAUAAUAACAACAAAUAAAAAAAUUUAAAUAGUGAAAUAGUUUAAAAAAUGGAUUAAAUUGAAAAAAAGACGAAAAACGGGGAAAUUUUGAAAUAAAUGAAAAAAACCAAUUUGAAUGCGCAGGAAAUAAUGGAGGAUCGAAAGGGAAAUUAUCCCUGCCUUCCCAAAACGCUGCGCAGAUAUGGGCCAGAUUGAAACAAAAAUUAAAUAUGCGGCUCAAUUUAAAAAGAAACAAAGGAGUUCAAUUGAAACACAACGCAAAAAAGGGGGACUAAACACGAAAUUUCCCCAUUCAGGCCAGAACGCGCGGAUCCUCCCCUCCGGUUCGGGUCACUGCACGGGUCUGGCCCCUUCAAAACGGCGUCGUUUGGCUUUUAAUAUAAAAUUAAAAUUUCUUAAAAAAAACCAAUUCUGCUUCAUUUUUUCUUUUCUCAAAACGACAGAGGGAAAAGGGGGAAGGUUGCUCUGCUAGGUUUUCUUAACCUAGCUUCGCGCCGCCGCUUGGCCUGCACCUCCACGCCUCGAUUUCGCUGGAGAAGACACCGGCCUGACAACUCCGGCGACCAGGUAAGUCUCUCCUCCUUUCUUUAUACCUUAAUUGAAAAAAAAAUAAAACAAAAAGGGAAAAAAAAUAGACUCGCCUUCAAAAAUAUCUUUGUCUCAGUAUAUUUUUCUCUCUAUAUUUGUCUCUGUUAAACUGAAAAUUCCCCCCCCAUUACACAAAAUUUGACUCGGUUUUAUAGCCGACCUAGAGAAAUAACAAUAAAAUCAAUAAAAAAUCCCUUGAUUCUCUGUAUUCUGUUGUUAUUUGUUUUUGAGUCUCGUUACAGGUACUGUUGGAGGAGAAUGCGCGCGACGUGCGCGGAGUAAUGUGCGCAACAUGCGGAGGCAACAGACGUGACGUGCGGGGGGCUGUUGCGGCGUGCGUGUAGGAGCUACUGCGGCGCGAGUUUGCUGCAGCGCCUAGGGUUUUUUUGGUUUUAGGCUAAUGGGGCUUGGGUUAAUUUUUAUUGGGCCAUACGGGUUGUAUGUUUAUUUGGGCCCGGGCAUAUUUGGGCUUGUAAAAAAAACUUGGACUGCCUUAUUUUUUGUUUUGUAAGGGCCCGGGCCAAUUGGGCCUGUUACAAAGUGCUAUGUUGAAUUUUGUUGGAAUAUUGUAGGUGUUACACAUUGUUAUAUUGAGUGGUACAAGUAUUUGAGUGCACCACAAGAGUUGUGAUUAUGUUGGUAAUUUUAUCUUAUAAUAAUAAUAAUAAUAAUAAUAAUUUUCUAUUUGAAGAUUUAGUAGUAACAAAUAUAUAGAUUAUAUUUGUAUUAGAAAUUAGAUUAUAUAGAGUGAAUUCUUGAAAUGGAUAAUUUGAAGGACAUUCAACUAAUAAGAAACCUAUGUCGAAUACAUCUCAGUUUGUAGUGGCUCGUGAUGUGAAAAUGUUGAUUCAUAAACAAUGGAAAAUUAAGGUUCAACAAGUUAACAAGGAAGGUAAUAGAGUUGCAGAUGCAUUGACUAAACAAAUUCUUAGUUGGGAGAUAUGUCUUUAUAGUUUUCUACAACCAUUCGUGUCUUGUCUCUUGUUCAUGACAACUUAAUCGAAGAUGACAAAAACAAUAUGACUUUGAUGUAAUGAAUCAAUUUGCUUUAUUUACCAAAAUAAACAUAUCAUUCUUUAUAUGAAGCACAAAAAAAGUUGAUGUAUUUACUGGGUAAAUAAUUUUUAUUGUUUUUAAUGAAUCAAUUUGUUUAUAUAUUUAUUGUUUUAUUUUUUUAUUUAAAAAGUGUAAUAUUUCAACACAUAAAAUUAUGAACAGCCACUCAAAAAGUUAUACUUAUUAAAUAAUUUUAAUUGAUUAAGAAUAUGUACAUUAGAGUCUUAUCCCUUACUAGAUAUAGUUGAAGAGUCAUCUUAUACAUAAAUGAAAGUGGAACUGAAAAUCUAUUUGUAGCUAAAAUGGUCAAUAAUUUCUUACAAUGCUCAAAUUAAAUGUAUUACAACGUAAAUUUAUCUUUUAUUAUAUUUUGAUAUACUAUCAUAAAUGUUUAAAUCUAACCUCACUUAUUUUCUUUUUCAAAUAAUUUUAAAAAAAUUUAAAAUUAUUCAAUUUAUAUAAAAAUUUCAAGUGACAUUAAUUAACACACUAAAACUUAUAUAUUUUGUAUUGACAAUAAUACUAAAAUCAAUCGAGAUGGAUUGUUAAGUUAAAAUAUUGAUUCCAAAAUUUAUAAAUAUUUAAUUAUUCUAAAGUAUAAAAUAAAAUAUUAGCUCCCAAGUCCCAACAUUUUAUCCCACAAAAGUUAAAUAAAAAUAAAAGAGUACGUUUCCCUAAACACUUCUUACAUUUCCCAACCAAAAAUGCAGUUCGUUUAGUUUGCUUCGGUAAUACGGUAGCGUUUUCCUAUGAGGAAAUCAGUCAAACUCCAUCACCAUACUCAAAACGAUUUCUUUAAAUUAAAUAUAAUUACUUAAUAUUUAAUUAAAUUAAAAAGAAAAACAACUCUGAUCAAAUGUAUAUAAGAAGAAAGUUUUGCUUAGUGUAAUCUGACUGUCAUUCAAGAUUUACGCAUUCAUUUCAGACAUAGCAGACCAUUUUGAAAUUCAAGUCUUUGGUUCAGAUUCUUUUUUCUUUCUUUUUUUGAAUAAAAUCUCUAGGAAAGUUCUUUUUUUUUUUUGGUGAAAUAAAAACAUCAGUUACAUACAGCAACCAUUCGUUUUAUCUACUUGUAAUAAAUCUAAAAGAUCCUUAGGAGCCUCAUCAAUAACUUGCAAGCUUGAUUUCCAACUCAAACUGAGUUUAGCAAGACGAUCUGCUACCAAAUUUUGAUUUCUUGGAAUGUGUUUUAUCCUCCACUCCCCUUCUGAAUGCAUAAUACGAAGAGUUCUUCGAAGCAUAGCAAUCCCUGAAUCUUCCAAAUCCAUAUUAGACAAGAUCUGAGCAACUUUAAGAUUAUCUGUCAUAAUAGUGAUUCGUUUAUAGCCCUUAUUAAGUAAAAUGAGGAUCACGUCAAGAAUAGCCCAAAAUUCAGCUUCGAACGAGGAGCACAUGCCAAGGAAUCGGUUAAAACCCACUAUCCAAUUUCCAUCUCGGUCCUGAGCCACUCCUCCUGUUGCAGCAUAGGCAGAAUCUCUUGCUACAGCUCCGUCAAUAAAAACACCCAAUUGUCAGCUGAAUUGAUCAUCAAGGAAGAGCCCUGCUUGCUCUUAAAGUGAUCUCCAAUAUGGUAGGUGUAGUGUCGGCCCCAACAAUAAGAGACUUUCACCACUUCCGUUGCUGUCCAAGAUAUAUGCUGGAAGAUGAAUAGAUUUCUAUUCUUCCAUAUACAAACCAAGCGACUAACCCAAACAGGCAUGACCACAUGAGACCAUAAUCCUGCAAUCUUUCAUGAAAACAAAGGUUAAGAAUAAGCCAAUCCUGAAAAGAAAUGGAAAAAAACCUUUGUUUUAACUGAUCAGGAAUCACAAGCCGCCACACAUCUUGCGCGGAGGGACAAUCUUUGAGAACAUGAACCAAAUCUUCAAUAUCAUGACCACAAAUAGAACAAGAGCUACAAUGAUAGAUUCCCCUUCUAGCUCAUUCUGAAUUUGUAAGAAGUUUUUGAUUGAAAGCAAGCCAAAGGAAGACUCAUACUCUCUGAGGACCUCGAUAUUUCCAAACAAUCUUCCAGUAAUCCUCCUGCGGAUUCCAAGAAUUCUCUUUCAAAUACCAAUAAGCACUACGAACUGAGAAGACACCAGACGCAGACUGAGUCCAAAUAAUCCUAUCCGAACCAGAGUUAGGGUGAGGAGGAGGAAUGCUAACAAUUCUAUUUAUUAUAACUUCAGGCACCCAGACACGAAAUAAAUCCAAAUUCCAGCUACCAUCUGAAUUGACCAUCUCCCUAACACAACAAUCCAAAUCAAGGUUAGCAGAAGGAUGAAUUUUUGAAAUUAAAGGGCCCAUACCUGGAAUCCAAGGAUCUUUCCAACAUCGAGCACUAGCACCGUCUCCAAUAGACCAAGCAAUAUUUUCUCUAAGAAGUGGCCAUAUCUUAGAAAGUGCCCUCCAUAAAAGAGAACAUUGGUUUCUUUUUAUAGAAUCCGGGAAUUGAUCUUUCCAACCAUAUUUGGCACGAAGAACACGGACCCAUAGUGCAUUACUUUUAGAAAUAAGAUUAAAUCCAAUCUUCAUAAGAAAAGAUAAAUUUUGAUCUUCCAAAUGUCUGAAACCAAGGCCUCCUCGAGACCUUGGUUGGAAAAUAGAAUUCCAACCCACCAAAGACAUUUUGGGAUGCCCAUCAGUACUACCCCAAAUAAACUGCCUGACCAAUCUUUCAAUGUCUGCACAAACACCUUUCGGAAUCAUCAAGGACUGCAUGAAAUAAUUAGGAAUAGAAAGAAGAACUGAUUGGGCCAAAGUGAUUCUACCAGCAAUGGAUAAAUUCCUAGCGUCCCAACUCUGUAAUUUCUUCCUCACUUUAUCCACAAUGAAGCUCAAGGUACUUUUUGAAAUCCUUUCGUGUAAAAGAGGAACACCUAAAUAAAUGCCAAGAUUUCGGACUUCCUGAAAUCCAAAAAGUUGGUUAAUUUGAUUACGAACAUUACCUUCUGUGUCUUUGGAAUAGAAAAUGCUACUUUUCCUAACACUUAUUUUGUGACCUGAAAUCACACAAAAUUGAGUUAGAAUAUUAUCCAGGAGACUAGCUUGAUCAAGCUGAGCUUUACAAAAGAUCACUAAAUCAUCCACAAAGAACAAAUGAGAAACUGAAGGACCUGUACAAGAAAGAUGAAUUGGAUCCCAUUUCCUAGAGUCAAUUUCAGUCCAAAUAAAAUGUCCUAACCAUUCCAUGCAAAGCACAAAGAGAUAAGGCGAUAAAGGACAACCUUGACGAAUACCUCUCUUAGGUAUGAACUUUUGAGUAGGUGUCACAUUCCAUAGAAUUUGCAUAGAAGAGGAAGAAAUAGCGGACAUGAUUACAUUCCUUAAGAAGACAGGAAUUCCAGCAUCAACCAAAGAAGCUCUUAUAAAGUCCCAACUAACUCUGUCGUAAGGUUUCUCCAAACCUAACUUAAUAGCCAUCCACUUUCUUACUUUCCUAUUACAACGCAUAAAAUGAAUGAUCUCUUGAGCUAAGAUAAUAUUAUCAAAAAUGUUACACCCAGCUAUGAACCCAGCUUGUUCUUGGGAUAUAAGCUUAGGAAAUAUAACUUUGAACCGAUUCGCAAUUAUUUUCAUUACCAACUUGUAGAGAACAGAACAAAGACUAAUAGGCCUAAAGUGGCUAAAGUCCUCAGGGUUCUCUUUUUUAGGAAUUAACACAAUCAGCGUAUUGUUCAAUUCAGCUUCAAUCGGACGUCCAUCAAAAAUAUCUUUGACCCACUGACAAACAUCAUUCCCAAGAAUAUCCCAUUGGCUUUGGAAAAAGUGAGCAUGGAAGCCAUCACUUCCAAGAGCUUUCAAAGGAGCCAUAUCAAACAAAGCCCUUUUAAUCUCCUCAUUAGAAAUAGGAGUCUCUAGGAAAGUAAUCUUAGAAGAGUUAAAGCGAGGAAAACCAAUAUUUGGAAUAUCCCUCGAUGUAGAAGAAAUCUCUCCAAAAAGUCCUUCAAAGAAUUCCACCGCCUUAGCCUGCAGAAUAUCUUGAUUAGUACACCAAUCCCCAUUAUCAACGCGUAAGGUUAUGAUAUGAUUGAAUUUCCUUCUCCUCAUCGUGCGACUAUGAAAAAACUUUGUAUUUCGGUCCCCCAAUUGAAGCCAAUCACAGUGAGCCUUUUGUCUCCAAAGUAAAUCUUCAUGAUCAAGCACAUUUUCCAGCUCAUCCCGAAUUUCCAAUUCUUUUCCAGCUAAAUACGUAGAGGAAGAAUGGUCCAUGGUUUUUUGGAUAUUAUUAAGAGAUCUCAUAAGAUUUCUCUUACGAGUACCCAUAAAACCAUAAAUAUUCUUGUUCCAAUCUUUAGCAAAAAAAGUGAAGUUAUUCAAAGAUUCAAACAUAUUACCUGCAAAAUUCCACUUUUCUUUAACAAGGUUAGAGAAAUUACGAUGUUUCGUCCAUCCCGCUAAAAACCUGAACGGUCUGCUUUGAGAAAUGUUAAGGUCGGAUGCAGUAGAUAACAAGAGGGGCCUAUGAUCUGACUUGAUACGAGUAAGAUGAUGGACAGAGAAUUGAGGAAAAGCAGACACCCAAGCAUCAUUAGCUAAGGCCCGAUCAAGUCUAACAAAGGUACCACCUCUUUGCCAAGUGAAAGCAGGUCCAUUAAACCCCAAAUCCUGCAACUCACAAGAUUCAACAAAAUUACCAAAUAAAUCACAGUGUUUACCAAUAGAGAUAGGACUCUUUUUAUCAAAAGAAGAUAAGAUAGCAUUGAAAUCUCCCAUAAUUAACCAAGGAGAAGAAAGAUUAGAAUUAGUUGAUUUUAAGUCAUCUCAAAGAAGCUUUCUUUUAGACCUAUCCGGACUGCCAUAAACAAAAGAAAUAAAAAAGAUUUAUUAGGAAUAAUAUUAUUAACACGUAAGAAAAUAAAUUGCAGAUGAUUUCGAACAAUAUGAAUUUGGAUAAAAUCUUUCCAACCAAUCCAUAUGCCACCUGAAAAACCAAUAGCUUCAACCCGAUGUGAAUAGUUAAACCCCAAUUUUUCAAUAAUAAGAUUAGCCUUAAUACCACUCACUCUCGGUUCCACCAAACAAACAAUAUCAGGCCUGUGCUCUGCAUUGUAUUCUUGAAAGGCUCGUAAAAACUUCCUGCUAGCACACCCUUGACAAUUCCAUGUAAAAUUUUUUAAAUUUAAAGGCAUAAUAAAAUAUAAAAAUAAAGAAAAUAAAGUAAAAUGAACCAAAACCCCAAUAUCAAAUUAUCAAAAUAAAACAAAACCUAUAAGGACUAAAAGAACAUCCUUACUGUCCAGGAGCAUUAGCUCCCUCUAUCUGCACAACAGAAUCCCCUCUAUUUACAACCCCAAGGUUAGGAGAUGCAAAGGUCGAGAUGCUCUCGGCUAGAUGUUCCAUCGACUCCUUCAAAGAUGUUCACUGGGAACCUGAAAUUUUGAAGCGAGUAUUGCUGCCAUGAAGGAUCUUAGACUGUUUUUUAGCUUGACCUCUUCCUCUGUUUUUAAGAGCUUUACCCGAACCGGAGGAUAGUACCAGAGAAGAAACAAAAUUUUUAGGUGAAUGGACAUUGUUAUUUUCCUUGCUUUGAAGGCUUUUAUGAAAUACCACCGCCGAGUGUCGACCAGAAUCUAGAUUACCAACAUCUAGAGAAACAGCAAAACUAUCUAAUUUUUAGAACUUUCUCCUUCAGGCCUGAACCCCACUCCGUCGCCCGGGAUUGUUUGUAUUUCAGCUGCAGCAAAAGACCGACUGCCGCUUCCAUCAGUAGUAAAGAGUUGCUGGGCUUCCAGUUCCAGAGUAGGUGAGCCCAAAGCUCCUCGGGCCUGACCCGCAGAUAAGUCCCCAUUGCCCAAACUGCUAACAGACUUAUCUAUAUUGCGAGAAUUUUCCUUCAGAACAGAAUUGGAUUUGUUGGGCUCCGAAAUUGGCCUGCCAUUAACUUUAGAGUUGGGUCCACCAAUCUCCUUCAAACCCACCUCCUUUGAAUUAUUUUUACUGUUUUUUCUCCACUCUAUUCGGCCAUUAAAGAAGGCAGUAGAAUCUUUACCCAUAGAAAUAUCUUGUGAAAUCUCUUUACGUUUGUCACGCUUGGAAUCCAGCAAAAAACCUUCAUCAUCCUUUUUGUACGAAUCUUUAUCAUUAAGGACUCUAAAACGAGAUCCUUCUUUUCCACUCUGUAGGCUAUUGAAGGAAUUAUUCACGUUUUCUCUAAUUUUCCUCCUUGAUUUCUUUUCAACGAUCAUCCAAGGACCGAAAUUCCCGUUUUCCUUCUCCACGCCAACCUUGUUCGUGUUCUGAAACUCCGAUGACAAUUCCGAUGGAGCAUUCUCCUUUUCACUAAGGCUUUUAGAGAUUUUAAAAGGGCAAGAAUUCUCCACAUGCCCAAAUCUCCCACAGUGAAAACAAAUUGUAGAUAAAGAUUCAUAUUCAACAUUCUGCUUUCGGCCGUUGAUCAAAAUAUAGGAUACCAACGGCUUUUCCAGGUCAACAUAAACAGCCAAUCUAGCAAAACGUCCCCUAGUCCUAUUAUCCGUGUUCAUAUCCAAUAUAACCACUUUUCCAGCCGUUUCCCCUAUCUCAGUGAUGAUCUUAUGAUUGUAUAAAUACCCAGGUAACCAGGGAAUCUAAUCCAUGCCAUCACAACAUUAGGGUAAGCUUGUGUGGGAUCAAAGGUUGGACUGUCAAGUAUUGACCAAAGAUGAUCCAAGGACCUUCAGAAAGCGCCUUUUCACAGUCCAACUUAUUCUGAAAUUUAACCAAGAAAUAUCCAUUUUCUAUGUCCAUCAUAUGUAACGCCGCUGAAGGUUUCCACAGAUUAUACAGUUUAUUCUGUAAAACCGAAAAACCAAUAUUACGACCAAGAAGCUUUAAAAUCACUGUGUUAUCCAUACCUUGAAUAAAGAUUUUGUGAAUCCUAUCCGAGAAGGAAAUAGAGGGUACGCCAUUCACAAAAGAUUUUUGAAUAUCCCCUUCCAAAAUAUCUAGAUCAUCUUUUCCUUCCAAAUCAUUGAAAGUCUCCUUUGACGAUUGGCCAACAAGCAUGUCCUUCCACGAGAUAGGUUUUUCCGGGGACGAGUCGAUCAUCAUAAUAUUAUUUGUAUCAACAUCUUCGCCUCUGAAACGAACUUUCUUAGGAAUCAACUCCUCAGAAAUAGAUUUUUCAAAGUCAAAAUUUUCACAGAGAGAACUCGUUCUUUUUUUUGUCCCCUCUUUUUUUUUUUUAAUUCCUUAACGAUAGUGAUUUCGGUUAUGGAGAAAAGGAGUGAAAAGUUGUGAUUUAUGUUGAAGUGGGCUUUUUUUUUCCUCUUUUACUAGUUUUAGAAAUGGGUUUGAUGGAGAUUUCAAUAAUGCUCCAUGUUGGAUUAGUUUUGUUCCUGCUUUGGACGCUUUCUCAAUUCAAACUUUGCCAUCCGGUUGCUUAUUUCGUGUCUCUCAUCUACCUCUAUUUGGUAAUUCAUUCAUCUUCUUCUAAGAAUAAAAAUGAAUCUUUUUUUCUUUAUUUUUGAACUUGGAUUGAACUUUUUUUUUAUUGCUUUGUUACAAAAAUUCCUUUUAUUUCUUUGUUCAUCAAAGGUUCAUGAAAUGUAUGUGACGAGAUUGAGGAAGAAAUUGGAGUUCGAGGAAAAGCGGCAACAAUUUAGGAGAAGGGUGAUUCUCCAAAUUUUAUUUUUUUCUUCUUUUUUUGCUUUACUUUUUAAGUUCUUAAAAAAUAUUGAUUUAUGCUGAUUGUUAUUGUAUUAUUUAUCAAUCAUUUUGGAUGUAUUUUUCCUUCUGGGUAAUUCUAAUUCUGAUACUUAGGGCACGUUUGGUUCGCUCUAAUAGAAUAGAGUUGUAAUUGAAUAGAGUUAUAAUGGAAUAGAAGCGUAAUAGUAAUUUAAUUGUUUGGUUGAAUGGAAUGGAAUAGAACUGUAAUAGCAUUCUUGUCUCUGGUUGAAUAGAAUAAUGUUGUAAUAGCAUAAGAAAAAAACUAAAAUGAGUAGAAUACCCUUAGCAGAAUUGUUUUAGUAAGAUGAUUAUUGUUAUUGUUAUUAAACUUUAAUAUAAAUAAUAAAUAAUAAAUAAUUUAAUCAUAUUUUAACAAAACUAUUAGUAAAUAUAAUUUAAUAAAAAUCUAUAAUUUAAUAAAAUUCUUAAUAAAAUUAUUCUUAUAUGAAUUUACUAAAAUCAUAAUAUAUAAUAAUAUAAAAUAUAAUUUAAAAUAAUUAUUAUUAAAUAUAAUUUAAUAAAAAUAUAUAAUUUAAUAAAAUUCUUAAUAUAAUUAUCCUUAUAUGAAUUUACUAAAAUCAUAAUAUAUAAUACUAUAAAAAUAAUAUAUAAUCUACUUUAUUAUUUUUAAACUAUAAUACAUAUUUAAUGUGCUAAAACAUCAUUAGUGAAAUAAAUAAUUUAAUUAUUUUACAAUAAAAAAUAUGAACAGUAAUAAAUAACUUAAGAAUUAUAUGCAAGGAGGAUGAUACAUGAAAAAAUUAAAGUACAAUUCAUCCGUAAUGAGUGUUUUAUUUUACAAAAGAUAAUGAUUAAAGAAAAUUCGUAAUUCAUUUUAUAACCAUUAAUGGCUUUUCUGUGUUUAAUAAAUUGAAAUUGACGAGAAAAAAAUGGAUCGGAGAGGGAAAAUAUCCUACAAUUGUCAAGGUGAUAAGGUAUUUUAAGAUUAUAAAAUACCUUAAGUUGGAUAAUAGCUCAAGGUUUCUUCUUCGGUACAAGUUAAACAACCAAUAGACGGAUCAAAUUGAAUGACUUAAUACAAACCUGAGCUAAAUUAUUUAAUUCAAACCAUAAUUUUAGUUGACUAGAAUGCAAUAAUUAAAUAACUUGAAUUAUUUAAUUUCACGAAAACAUAAAAAAUAAAAUUUAAGACAAUUUUCCCGUACAACAAAUCAUGUAAAAGGAGAUGAUCGACUCAUAAGCUCUAAAUAUUAUUCCCUAUAAAAUUUAGGACUCACAACCAACAGGUGUCUGUACCAUUUAAGAGGCAGUAAUUAUAUUUCAUUUAAGCUCUCUCCAAUCAGCACAUAAAAUAGGCUAGAAUACAUGCAAAUAAAAGUUUGAACAAGUCAUUUUUCAUCUAUUUUGAUUCGGGUACAAUCUUUUUAAAAUAAUUGAAAUAGUCAUAUUUUCAAAUUAUACUGGGAUAAAUAAGAACUUAAAAUAAUCCAAUCCACUAAUUUUAAACGCGGAACGAUAUUCAUUGACUGGAGUUCCUGAAAAAAUGACAUGAAAGGGGAAAGAUGUUGGGUAACAGGGGAAAAAAAAGCAAUGAAUGCAUAAGAAAAGAAAAAUAGUACAGACGUCAAAAAAAGACAAUGGAAUUGAAAAGUAUUCUUAUUAAAUGUGACAUGACUUUAGAAACAAUAUUAACCUCCUCUAUCUCCUUUAACAUGUUUUUAUUCAGAAACCAAAUUGAAUGACAACCAAUAUCUGUAUUUGUAUCACUGUUGGACAUAACUAACACAACCCUUCAACAAGCAAACAAAAGUACAUAGCUUCAUCUCAUAUGAAAUUCUUCACUUUUCUUUAAAUACCACAAAAGAUCAUGAAAAAAACAUUCAAAGAGUUGAACGUACCCGUAUCUGACUUAAUCAAACUCCAAGUAACAUAGAUGAAAUGCAUGCCUUUCGACUACAUGUGUUCAGGAGUGGUACUAACAAGUGCCAUAUGCAUCGACAAGCAUUAUAGAACAAAUGCCCUUUAAUUUCAGUAAGCAUUCUACUUUUUUUUUUUUCAAGAAAAAAAACCCCAUAUUUUAUUUGAGUAGGUCAGAGUGCGGCGUGAUACUUUCAAACAUGUCAUUUGUAUAACAAAAAUGUUUGCCAAAGUCUACCUGGAUUAAAAGCUUGCAUGCGUAUGGUAGUUUCAUGCUAGAAACAUUUUCUCCAAUUUUACAUGAAAAACAAAACCCAAUUUUCAGCUUAUGGCUGUAGUAUCCUAUCAAACCACAUUUUCGGCAAACCUGUGUCAAAAGAUGGUUAUUAUGAGAUUGAAGCUGAUUCCAAUCAAGCAGUAAAAGUGUAAAAAGAAAGCACCAUAACAAAGAUAUUACAUCCGAGCCAUUGCAAAGUACAAAUUGAACAUAUAACCGUAAACCAAAUUAACUCUGGACAGGCCAAAAUAAAUCUGACAGAGACCACACAUGAUUUACAUAAGGUGAAACUCAACCCGGACCCUCACCCUUUCGCAGCUGUGCCAACGCCUCAUUGGCCCCAUCACCGGAAAAUUAUAAAUAAAAAAUAUUCAAGCUUAAUAAUUAAACCAAUGUCAAGAAAUAUGAAAAUAACAGCUAUUUGUGAACUACAACGAUUAAUAUGAGCAACAUCAACGAGAAUUUUACUCUGGGUUUUCCAGACUAGAAAAAGCAAGAGACUUUUGCAACCUCUGGUCUUUAAGAGACUAGAUAGAAUUCAAGUACGCACAAAGGCAAACUUUUGAGUAGUUAUAUCCGGAAGUGGUUUGAUGCUGGAUUUAACUUCUUAAGUGAAUUACGUGUGGAAAAUAUUACAAUAUAUGCUAAGUACCUUAAGCAUUAUUUUUGCUGCUAUUUCUCAAUCAGUAAAACAUAACAUUCCAAUCCAAUGCUCCAUAAUUCAAAACAAAUCAUGAACAGCACAUGCACGUAGAAUCCAAUAACAUAAUUCACAUCCACCAAAACCAUAAUCAAAUACCUGGACAUCAUAUGGAUCGCUGGAUAGCAUCAUUACAGCUUUUCUGUAAUGUUAUUACAGCCAACCAAACGCCCGUUUGGUUCACAAAAUCUAAACAGAGAAAUGUUAUUCCGAAAUCUUACAUUACACUUGAGAAUGUGAAAUUACUUGAACCAAAAGCACUUAAUAUUUAGAGGCUACCUGUUAACCAUUUGAUUGCUAAUCUUUAAAAGCUAUUUGAACAAGAAGGAAAUAUUAAAAGUGCCACAAAAUUGCUGCCACUCUUGCUACACAUUUGACUUCUUCACCAUUAACAAUCGACGUUUUCAAUAGUAAACGAACAAGACAGUAGCGAAUACAAAGGUCCUAUUACUUAAAUUCUGGCUAUAAAUAUUGCCGAAAAGGAAAAAAACCUUGGAGUGUUGCUGGAAGAGUUGCCUCCUGUACCAAGGUGAUCUUCUCGUAUCCAAGAUCCUUUACUCCAUUCAGUAAUAUAGAUGAAAGUGAAAGUCGAUCAAAUCUGCAAGCGUAGCAAGGAAAAGAAACCAGACACUUAUAAAAAUCCUAGAUAAUAAGAAUCAUGUCUCAGAAAACUGAUAAUUAAAAAAAAAAGGCCUUGUUUCACUCAAAAAAGACUCGAAUUUCUCUGGUGAACCUCUUGGAUUCUCUGUCUCCGGUCCCGGUGUGGAACUAGCAUUCGUAUUUCCAGAAUCGAAACCAGUCUUAAUUCUUUUUCCGUCCAACGAAUACAAAUUAGCAGAGGGGUCCCCAGUUCCAUCAUGUUCGACUCAAGACUCACUCUUUCUUUUCCUCUUCGAUGAACCCAUAUCUCCCUCUCUACCUCUACUCCUAUUUCUAUUUCGUGCUCUAUCCGCAGCUAAUCCUCGUCUUCGCUAGUAAGUCAGUCAAGGAACAAGCGGUUCCCAACUCGCGAACCCAGUCACUGAAUUGGACUAGUCCUCGACAACGACCUUCGAGGCUCGGAUAUCUUCUCUAUUUUCAGUGGCCUACGGGCAGUCAGAGGCUCCGAUUACUGAUGUCCCGCAAUAAAGGCUGUAAGCCGAAAACUUGAGUGCGAGCAUUUUUCGUUGUUGAUAAAAUGGAGAAAAGAAAAGAAAUGUGAGAAGAAAAGAAACGUACGAGAAGAAGAAGCAGAAACGAUGGAAGGGAAAAAAAUUACCUUGCAAUUCUUCUAGAAACGUCGGAGAGGAUGAGGGCAGAAAACAGAAGAGAAAAUUCGGAAUUGGGGGGAAUCCCUAAUCGGCGCUUAAACAUCAGAAUGGCUAUUACAGCCAAUUUGGAUAAUAGGGGCGGAAACAAAAAAAGAAACUUCAUAGAAGUCGAAAUAUGAAGAAAUAUAUAUGCCUAGAUACUUUAUUCUAUGGAUAAAGAUCUAAUUGAUAGAGGAAGUGCCGUAAAGAUCAAUUAGCGAAGUUUUGAGCAGAUACAAUAAAUAAGAACUGCUUAUUUAUGUCAUGAUAAGAGAUAAAAAUUAGAAAUCGACUUAUGUAAUAGAGCCGAUCCCCUAAGUUAUUAAAUAGCGGUGUAACAUCAGAUCCCAAAUACAGUAAGUCUUUUUUAUGAGGAAGAAGUUUUUUUCAAGGAUUCUAUAUAAAUUUCUAUAUGAAACCGAGAUAGUUACCUUUCAGGUAAUAACAUUACACCCAACUAAACACCCGUUUGAUGGUGGGUCCGGGGAAUUGGGUGGAAUGCAUACCGAUUCCCCCAACCAAACAUGCCGACUGUACCAGAUCAUUUUUCUUCUUUAAUGGAUGUUUUAGCUUUCUUUAUUUGGUUCAAAUGGUUACUUUUUUUGCGGUCAAUUUUAGUCUUGGAUGUUGAGAAAAAAUGUUUAGAAUUAACCUUUUUAUGAAAACAAGAAAAAGCAUAUGAUUUGCAGCUUUUUAUGUUGUUUUAUUUUCUUUGUGUAGUAUACAUAGGCAGAUUGAAGUUUUAGAAUCUUAAUUUUAAAUUCUGAUCUUGUAAAGUCUGUCCCUUUAAUGCUUUGUUGGCCUUUUUCAUUAGGUACUUUCGGAUUCCAAAUCUGUUCGGUGGCUAAGGCUUAGUUUGAAUGGGCGGUGUGUUUAGCUCUGGUGAGGUUAAAAACAGCGGUGGCGGUGAAAUUGGGUACUGUAGCGGUGAGAUUGGGUACUGUAGCAGUGAGAUUAGAAACAGCGGUGGAGUGUGUGUUUGGAUUCAAACGCAGCUAUAACAGUGAGGUGAAAAUAGAAAAUGACUUUUAAAGAUAUUUGAUUAAAAAUGAUAUAUAAUAGAAGUUUUUAAAAUUAUUUAACAAUUACAAAAUUAAUAAAUGAUUAAAAAUUAUUACAAUUAUAUUUAUUUUUAAUAAUAAAUAAUUAAAAAUGAAUUAAAACUAGAGAAAAAUUCAAAAAUUUAUUUUAUUUAAUAUUUCAAAAUUAAUCAUAUAUUUAAUUAUAGGGGCUCAAUUCAUUAUUGAAAGAUUAUUGAAAUUAUUGAGCCUUUAGAAAAAUAAAACAUUAUUGAAAGAUAAAAUAAUAAAACAACACUAAAAUAAGGGUCUUAAUGCAUGUUAUUUCAAAUGUUUGUCAUUAGUAACUCAAUGCAAGACAUUGCUAGCACCAAAUAACUUUAAAACUAAAAUCAACCGUUGGCUAGUAACUGAAAUAGCCUAUGGCCACCAUGUAGAAUGUGCAAUGUCGAGCAUUGAGCUGGUCAUCAAUGCUAAAGGGAAGAGUUAAAAAUCACAUCUGAUGGGGUUUUGACAACAGAGGAAGAAAACAGAAGCAAGUAACUCGGAUGAUGUAAAGAUUAACUUCAUUACUUGAAUAAGCAAUAUGCCAUAUACAUAAGUAGUCCGGAUUACAUGUGUUGGUUUUUUUAGCAGAAAACUAAGGAGAAAAAAAAAACGAAUGCAAAGAAGUUUGAACAAUAAGAAAACUGAAUUUGAUUUCCAAAAAUCAGAUCUUUUUCAUUGACUUGAGAAGCAUUUAUGUUACAAUGAAACAUGGCAGUUAACUAAUGUAUAACUGCUCCCACUAAUACAUGACUAAAGCCUAGAUAGAAUUACAAACAAAAUGUAGCUGACAUACCAGCUAUAACAUCAAACAUAAAUCCAACCCUAUCAAAAUGUAUUAUAACAAGAGAUAGAUGUCUAAGGUGUCAUGCUACUAAAGACAUCUAAAAUUGAACGUCCAAGUAAAGAAGCACAAAUCUAUGAAUGUUUAUUUAGGUACAAAAAAAUUCCUGAAAAAUGCAGGCACAAAAGAUGAAAAGAUAUUAUCUUUGCAUACUGCAUGCCAAACUAGUUUAAAACCUUCUGUCCAAAAAUACUAAACCUUUUAAGGAAGCAGUUUUCAACUGAUCUUAACAAUGGAAAUUGAGUUGUAGCAAAGUAAGGUCAUAAUAAAUGGUUGCUAACAUGAAAGCAAAAAUAACCAUGAAGAAAUAAAUCUAUCAAGUGAACCUCCUCAAUUGCCGAGGUAUGUUCCUCUAGGCGCAAAUCAUGUACUUUUGGAAGAGCACUAGCUGCACAUUUUCUAACAUAGACAGAUGGAUCUCUAGCACACUUGCCCACAGCCACCAGAACAAGAGGCGCAAUAACAUGAAGACGAAUUCCAGCCAUGGUGCGAAGUGCCCAUGCUCUCACCAAGGGAUUAGGGUCCACCAAAUCCUCCUGGAAACAAUUAAUUGACAAUAAUGCUUCGUUGGGACGCCUACAAAAUUAAACACAGAAACAUUAACAAUAAGUUCAAUCUACCUGCUUAAAUACAAGAAAUACAAUCCAGGUCACUCGUCACCUCUCCUUUGAGCCACUAUUAUUUUAAACUAAUGAGUUUCCACCAUCUCAAGCACUGCUUUUAUUAAGAAAAAGAACAAUUCUUCAAAAUGAAUUGUAAUUAAUUAAACUUGAAAAGUGCUUAAAAACAAUGAUCUAAUAACUACUCUUAUCUAAUAACUAGUUAAACUUGAUACCGUUUCUAUCCGGUGCAAUUAGAGAUAGAUUUCAAGCAAACAUGUUCUUUGUUCAUACUAAUAAUUCCCUCAUUUACUAAUAUUGCUUCUUAACAUAUGGAAGCAACCAUUGGAAAAUAAAAAGAAUAUUGUAAGAGAAGUUUGCGAAACAUACUUUUCAGCAUAAUGCAGUAGAUACAAAUAAACAAGUUUCUUUACUUCCAAAGAUUGAGAUGCCACGUUUUUAACAACCUGUAAUUCAAGCAACCAGAGAGAUGAAAAACAUAUAUACACCUCAAUUAACAAACAAAUAUAAUAUUUAAAAGUAUCCAUUACCAAACCCUGAUUUCAUAUCAUGAAUGUAAUUAUGAACAGCUAUCUGUAUUUUAUCCACAGUCCUAGACCCGAUUCAACCAUUUCUUCACUAAACAGAGUACAUCUAUCAAUAAAGAUCCAAUGAAUUAUAACUACAACACUCGAUAGCUUAAUUUUCUUUCUCAAUUAUCCUGUGAUAAGUUCACUACACCUAUUAAACAAUGAUAUUUAAACUUUUAGACACUUAAAUUUAUUUACACUUUCCAGAAACCUUAUCAGCUGUCAAAACGGUGCUCUGAAUGAAAUUACAAAAUCCAGAUCACUUCAAUAUUAAAUUUUAAGUAAUUUUUUCAGAGUUCAUUCAAUAAAAAGAAACCAAAAAUGAAAAACAAAUUACCUGAGGGAAGUAAUUGGAGACGUCGAAGCCUUGAGCGAUGAGAGCGAGGAGUCACUUGAGAGCCUCACACUUCUCCGAAUCGAAUUUACUAUCUAAAAGCGGAGCUAUGCUGACAUCAUCCGGAUCGUCGUAGAGGUGAGCAUCGGUUCCGAUCCGGAACACCAUCGUCGACGCCUUGCUCAACGUCUCCGCCGUCGCUCCGAACUGUGGAAACAUUUCCGAUUAGUUUUUCCUUUUUCUUCUUUACACAAAUUAAGAAUUCAUCAAAAUUGAAUUUGAAAAAUUAAUUUCAAGGGGGAAAUUGAGAAGACUUUGUGAUCUCUUGAUGUACUAAUGGAAGCAUUCAUGGUAGAUUUGCCUGAGAAAGAGAGAAAGAGAGGAAACAAAACAGAAUAUGCUGAGAAGAGAAGAUGAAGAACGGAAGAAGAAAAAGGAAUAAAGAACGGAAGAAGGAGAAGGAGCCUUACCUGGAUGAAGGAGGAACCGGAAGAAGUCCUUGACCAAACUGAUUUGCAACCCAAGGGGAAGGGGAAAGGGAAGGGGAAGGGGAAAGGGGAGAAGCAGGUAACUAAACAUCAGAAAAGCCUGAAGAAUGCAACUGAAGAAUAUAUGGGUAAAAGAGGAAAACAAAAAGUAAUUGAAGUUGCUUAAUUUUUACUGGAACAAAAGGCUCCAGUCUGGAUUUGAGACUCCGGCAAGGUGAAAUGCAUUUUCAACGCACUAAACAAAGCUUUCCAAACAGCCUUGCGUUUACUAAUAUUUCAGUUGUAAUUUUUUUUAGCGUUAAAAAACUAACGUACUGAGAUGCAGUUGCAUCCAAAGGGAGCCUAAACCAUGCUGUUGAAAAAAUAUGGCCUAUUUGUAUGAAACAGAUUGCAUCACAGAAGAUUCUGCUUCCCAUCAUACCUUGGUUCUUGGCUAAGUACAAACCUUGGACUGCUGUAUGAAUUUUGCUUCUCUUGGCUAUCUCUGGAAAAUUAGUACAUAAAGAUUCUGAUUUAGUUAAAUGUUCAAUUUAGUGCAAGAAUUAUGAGCAAUUUGUACUUUUUCAAGACUUGCAUUAGCUCCUAUGAAGUUACUUUCAAUGACCAUCAGAUGAUUAUUUUUUGAUCCAUUUUGGGUGUGCUUAAAAACUUAAUAUUUUAAUUUUUCCUUAAUUUUGUCUGUUGACACCAUUUUUUGGAUGAAAACGGGGUCGACUUGGGUUUUGACGAAAACGAAAAAAACGGGAGUCGCCACCGAUCUUUUUGAUGAGGCGUGAUCGGGUCACCUUGAAAAAUGGUUGUUUUUAAUAAACAAUUUAAUUUUAUUAAAAACAACGAGUUUGGUCCACGAAAUUCAGAAAAUGGGUCCGGGAGUCAGUUACGUACGAGGAAGGAUUAGCACCCUCGUAGCACCCAAAAAUUGGUACCUAGUUGAUUAGUUAAUGUCUUAAUGUCGAAAAACUGAGAACUUUAAAGAAAUUUAAAAAUACAAUCCUUAUUUUGAAAUAAAAUUUAUAAAAAUCGAGCUGCUUAUUAAGACUUUUUCGUUUCAGAAAGAGAAAAUGUCAUACCCAAUACGUUAGGGUACGAUAUCUUACCUUUUCAGAAAUGAGCAAGUCUAAACUCGCAUAGAAAAGUUUAAAAGAGUGUUUAAUUGUUUAAGUCAUAUGAAAAAAUUGCAACCCAAUACGUUAGGGUACAAUUUCUUCAACUAUUAAACAUUGAAUAUUGCAUUUAUUUUGAAAAAUCCUCGUCUCGAGAAAUCGAUGUAUCAUGUCCAAUACAUUAGGACACGACGUAUUGAAUUCUCGUUAAAGAGUUUUCGUUUAUGUCUUUUUUAUAAAAAAAGGUAAUCUCGAUUAUUUAGAUUCAAUAAAGAAAAUCGAAACCCAAUACGUUAGGGCUCGAUUCUCUCGAAGAUCCCAAAUACCGAGUGUUGUUUUUAUUUUUGAAUUUUCCGUUUUUUUUUAUAAAUAAAUAAGAUGGCAAACAUAUAAUAAAAAGAAAUCAAUAAAUAAAAGUAAAUGAACAAAUAAAAAUUAAAGCACCUAAGCAAAUAAUAAUAAGCAUGUAGAUAAAUAAAUUAAUUAACACCAAAUGAAACAAUAGUAAUGGAUAACAUUAUAGUAUAUAUAUAUAUAUGUAUGUGUAUGUGUGUGUAUUAGAAUUAUAAAGCAUAAAAAUAUACGUAUGUGCAUAUAAGAAUAUGUAAGCAUGUAUUUGUGAAAAUUAAAAAUAUGCAUAUAUAAGAUUAUUAAACAUAUAUAUAUGAAAAUUAGAACGUAUAUAGGACAUACAUAAUAUAUUAUAUAAAAUAUAGUAUAUAUUAGGGAAAUAUAUAAAUACAUAAAUAUGUACAUGAAUAAUAACAAAGGGAUAAAUGUACACUUGUAUAUAUAUAUAUAUCCUAAAACAUGUACGUAUAUAUUAAGAUAAUAAAAAUACAUGCAUAUAUAUAGAUUGUAAGAUAGAUAUGUAUAUAAAAAUGAGUAUUUGUAUUAAAUAAGUUAAAAAAAGAAGAUAUAUAUAUACGCAUAUAUAUAAACAAUUAUAUAAUAAAAAUAAUAUAAUAAAACAUAUAUAUCUAAGACUUUCAUAAGAAAAUAGAAAUAAAAAAAACAUAACAAUAAUAUCAAUAAUAUUAAUAAAUAUACUAAUAACAAUAAUAAUAAUAAUAAUAAAAUUGCUAAAUAUGGACUUAAUCGAAAUAAAAACGAAAGUACUGGGCGAAAUCGAAAUAAAAAAACAAAUAAGGAUUAAAUUGUAACUCGCGCCAAACAGAGAGGGACCAAAACAGUAAAUAGACGGAGUUCUAAAAACGCGGCGUUGCAUUGGACUAAAUUGAAACAAAAAUAAAAUUGUAGGGCUAGAUUGAAAAUAAAAGAAAAUAGCAAAAGGGGGCUUGAUUGAAACGCGCUGCAGAGUCGAAGGUCUGCGCGCGCAAUUAUACCCUUUAAAGAAAACACGCGAAUCCUCCCCCUGGGUCGGGUCACCGCGCGGGUCAAGGCCAAAACGGCGUCGUUUUGGCACCUGACCCCUAAGGGCAAAACGGCGUCGUUUUAAAAGGGCUAUUUAAGCCCAAAAAUUUUCUAAAAACUCAUUUCAACCCCCCCAUCUUUAAAAAAAAACAACAGAGCUCCCCUCCUCCUCUCAAGGCUCCGGCUUGGAUCCGAUCAAACGCUCCGGCGUUCCUCCGUCGUAUCCUCGCCGCAGGCGGUGGCCGGAGGUACAAAAUGGAACCUUUUCGGUUCCUUUUUGAUGCCGAAGGCCUCCUAAACACGGAUCCAACGCCGAAUCUUGUAAAAGGCGAGCCUAACCCCACAAAACGAGGAGUAACCGUCCGUCUCCUCUUCCUCCGGCGCGGCGCUAAAAGGUAUUUUUUACUCCUUUUUUGUUUUUUAAAGAAAUAAAUCGAAAAAUAAUGAUAUUUUUAUGAAAAGUGUAAGAAAAACAGAGAAGUGAAAGGCGAAAAUCACCUUCAAUCGCUUUGUUUGCUUUUGAUUUCUGAGAAUAUUUGUAAAAGAGGGGAAUCCGACCCCUUACAAUGAUAAUCACUAGCUUUUUAUAGCCCAAAAAUUACAUGUUUUUUAUAUUCUAUUAUUUCUCUCUCUUUGGUUGCUGUGGCUUUCUUUGUUUUCUUCCUUGCAGGUGACGGCGCAAGUGGGACGAUGGGACAGUGGCGGUGCAAGGCGAUGGCGGUGGCGGCUGAAAUCUAGGGGUCAAAGACCCUAGAUGCGGCGUUAGGGUUUCAGACUUUCUGAAACCCUAAGUAACUUUUUUAGGAUGUUGGGCCUGAGCUAUUGGGCUCCGAGUUUGCUGGGUUAGGGCCACUUGAGUUUGAUGGGCUGUUCGGGUUUGGGCUGGUCUGUUUGAGUUUUGUAAUGGGCCCGGUUUUGGGCAAAAUUGGGUUGUACAUUGUCCAUUCAAACAUAUUAAGACUAUUUGGUUUGGUUUGCCUGUCGGUACGUAAGCGCUUAUUCAUGCAAAAGUAUCCUUUUAUCAAUUAAAAAGAACAGCAAUAAGGUAAAACGUCAAUCUCUAAUAGGGUUUGCGGCGUCGGCAAACGAGUGUAGAAUCUUCUACGGUAAGCAAUAGCAUGCUAUCCUAUUUUCCUCCAAUAGCAUAUUUAUUUAUCAUUAAUAAUUAAUUUUAUUUUAAUUGUAAUAAAAAAAUUAUGACAUAAUUCAUCGUUUACAAACACCAUCUUCAUAUAAUAUUUAAAUUUUAUUUUAGAUAAUUUAUGAUUGUAAUUCUUGAACACAUAUGACAUAAUGGAUGAUUAUUUGAUAAAGCUGAUAGUAAAUUUUUUAAUUUCAUAAAUAGAUUUGAAAGUUCGAUAUAUAUUUUAAGUUGUAUUUAAAAAAAAUAGGAUAUAUGAAAAUUUUUCAAUCUCGCUUAUUGAGUUAAUUAAUAAUCCAUAAAAAAUAUUACUUUGUAUGUUUUAAUUCUUAAUUAAUUUUAGAUAUUUGACUUCUAUUAAUUUAAAUGUUUUAAUGUUUUUUUUGAAUUAAAAAAAGUGUGUAUUUAAUUCUUCAUAAAACAAAUUAUUUGUACAUAAUCAUAAAUCGGUAUAAGAAGAUCAAACCUAAUAUAUCAAAGCAACUAAUUAAGCGGAUUGAUUGUUUGAUUCCAAAUGUUUAAAUUUGAUAAUCAAUGAAUUUAAAGAUAUAAUGAGAUGUAAUUUUGUAAAUUAGAUAUCUCAAUCUUAAUAUUAAGUGAAUGGUGACUCUAACCUACUUAAAAACAAGAAAACAAUCAAUCUUCACUUUAAUUUGUAUGACGCAAAGUUCUUAAAACCAUUUCAAAGAACCGUUAAAAAAUAAUAGAUACAAGAUUUAAUCAAAACAUCAAGUAACGACUCAACCAAAACCCACCAAAGAGAUAUCUAAAGUCUCAAAUCUGGAAUUAAAGGUCAACGUAAACACAAAAUUCUCCAAAAGUAUUAUGAGUUCUAACCUUUUAAUGGGUAUAAUUUCUAAGGUUUUACAAUAGUCUAUUUACAUGCAAAAUUUGUAGCCCAAAUAAAAAUAAAAUAAUAUAGACUAAUCAAAGUUUAACUAAAAUAAAUAAACAGAGUUUAACUGAAAGAUUACCUCUCAAAUUUAAUCGAAAUAUGAGGCAUGCUCAAUAAUAAAGGUAUCACUUCAUGAUAUAAAGGUAUCACUCCUUCAAUGGUAUAAAGCUACAUAAAAUCUUAGUUAUGUCUUUGAAAUAUUUUCAUAAAGGCAUGUGCAAAAACUUUUUCAUUCUAAACAAAUUCAUUCCCUCAAUAUUUUUUAUUUAAAAUCAAAACCACAUUUAUUUUUAAACAACAUCUAACAAUAUAUUUGGCUCAUCCAACAAUUUAUUUUUAAAUGAAAUUUAUUUUAAAAAACCAAAUGAGAAUCAUUAUACAACUUCAUAAAGUCGAUGACACAUCCAACAUUUAAAGCACAAAAAAACUAGAUAGGCCAACAACAAAACAAUAAUGCCAACAUUCUCAAAUACCGCAACAAAUUUGUUCUAAAAACAAAAGAUAGCGCAUCGAACCUAGAGCGUAGAAAUACUUGAAUUCAAUCAUUGUAACAACGAAAAAGGAAAUAAGACAUCCAACAUCCUCAUCACAAUAGAUUCUCCUCUGACCCGCCAACAGCGUUUGCAAUGCAAUAAAACAAAAAAAAGAGGUUAUUGUGAUAGCAACUCUUAUAAAUAUUCCAAAAUUAACUUUUAGAUGCAUCAAGUCUUAAUCUAAGGGAAAGGGUUUAUCCAAACAUGAAAAAUCUAACCAACUCAAUUCAAUUCAACCCAACCUCAACCUAUCUAUAUAGUUUACUUUUAAUUUAUAUCUAAUUUCAAUUAUGGUUUAAAUUUAAAUAUUUUUUAACAAAAAUUUUAAAUACUUAAUAUUGAACAAAUAGUCAUAUUAAUGAAAAUAUGUAAUUAUGAACAAUAACUUAACACAUAGGUAAAAGUAUUUUUUUUUACUUAAUAAUAUUAUUAGCAAUAGUACGUUAUUAAUUGUAUAUAUGAAAAUAAUGAAGCUUAAAAAUUAAAAUUUAAAGACAAUGUCAUUGUCAAAUUUACUCAAAAUUUAUUUUUAACUAUAGUUAUCUAUGUACAUAUGUGACACACAUAAUAAGAUGCUAAUAUAUUUAAGGCAAAAUAUUAUAAAGUUAAACGGUUAGAUAAUGAAGUGAAAUGUUUCUAACCUUAUGCAAUAUUUGAACUUGUUAUAGUAACAGUAUCCAAUGAUGUACUUGGCUCAUCAUUAGAGUUCUCACACCUAUGAACCUCCAUUGAUGUUUCAAGCGGCAGUUGAUGGAAUGGCUUAGGAGCCAUUUCAAGGAGUUCAACAUCAGAUUCAAGCAUCUUCAAAACUUUACUCAUUGAAGGACGAUCAGAAGGCAGUAAUUGUAUACACCAAAAGGCUGUUAUUACCAUUUUCUUUACCAUUGCUUUUUCAUCGUCAGAAACAUCUCCCAACUCCAAGUCCUCUCCUUGAUCUAAUCGGUCAUAAAUCCAAGAUGGAAAAUAUAUUUGACUAGUGUGGUCAGCAAAUGCAUUCACAUUCUUUCUCCUUCCAACUAUUUCCAUCAGUAACAUUCCAAAACUAUAAACAUCGGCUUUGUAUGAGAUGCCUCCAAGAUUUUUGUAAACCAAUUCAGGAGCAAUAUAUCCUAUCGUUCCUCGUGCCGCAGUGAGAGAGACAAUGCUAUUAUCUAC
rnacentral:lncRNA from 1 species